rnacentral:lncRNA from 1 species
UUUUUUUUUUUGAAACUGGUCCUUUUCUCCCUUGAUUCACUUUUGUAGACUGAUAUCCUUGUGUUUUCGUGAACUUUAGUUAGAGACUUCACCCAAACUAGUUUCUAUCUUCUGGAUUUUUCUGCCUUUUUUUUUUGAAAUUGGUAACUUUAGAUUUUUCUGUCUUAUCAAAAUGGUUUAAUUCGACGUGCCUAUAAUAACAAGGGAAAAGAAAUCUUUGCCAUUAUGUAACUGUUCUUGUUAUAGGUUGAAUUUUAAGGGUCAUAUCCUUGUAUGUUGCUGUCUUUAACUUUUCUAUUUAAUCUAAUAUUUAGGUGAAGUUUAUCAAUCCUCUACUACGGUCACCAAUAGUUGGUGAUGUGGCGUAUGGAACCCUGGUGAAGCUUUCAAAGUGUACUGCUACUCCACUUUGUAACUGGGCUCUUGAAAUUGCGACAGCCUUAAGGUUAAUUAUGUCAGAGGAUGUUAAUGUCUUAUGGGGUAAAAUUCCUUCUGCUGGUGAGGAGGUAUCAAAUGAAAAGCCUGGUCUCUUUGAGCGUGUAACAAACGGCUUGUCCAUUUCUUGCAAAACUGGGGCUCUCCCUGUGGAUUCGUUUACUUUUGUUUUCCCUGUAAGUUUGUGGUCUGAUCAUGUCAACUUUACUUUCCUGGUAGUUAUUCUUUCCUUUGUCACUGAGACACUGACAUUUUCUGAUAUACAUAUAUUUUUCUUUUUGUUGCAUGCGUAGAUAAUGGAGAGAAUAUUGUUAUCUCCCAAGAAGACCAAACUUCAUGAUGAUGUUCUCAAGAUAAUAUUCUUGCAUUUGGAUUCGUUUUUACCUCUACCUAGAGUUCAAAUGCUCUCAGUUACGAUCACUACAGCUUCUUGUUGUUUAUACCUUGAUUAUCAUUCCUGUAUCUAUUUCUGACUGAUUAUCUUGGUGAUUUUUUAGGUUCUUUAUCAUGUCCUGGGUGUUGUUCCUGCUUAUCAAGCAUCUAUUGGACCGGCAUUAAAUGAGUUAUGCCUUGGGCUGCAACCAGCUGAAGUGGCACCUGUAUGUGAUGUAGUUAUGAAUUUCUUCUGUGAGCUUCCACAUAACACUUAUAAUCACUUGUGUUUCAUGGACUUUUGCAGGCUUUAUGUGGUAUUUAUGCUAAAGACAUCCAUGUUAGAAUGGCUUGCUUAAAUGCUGUGAAAUGCAUUCCUGCUCUGGCUAGUCAUUCUGUCCCUCAAAGUAGUGAAAUUGCCACUCGCAUCUGGCUUGCUUUACAUGAUCCCGAAAAGGUAUUACAUUCUUGUAGAAGUUACUUUUCUAGUGAUAAAUGCUUAAUUCUGGGUUUUCAGUCCCUUUAAAUAUUACUCCCUUCGUUUCAAUUUGUUUGUGUGGUUUUGACUUGGUGGAGUUGAAGAAAGUAAAGAGAACUUUUGAAUCUUGUGGUGUUAAACUAAAGAAAUGUUGAAUGUACGAAAAUGCCCUUUAAUGUCGUGGUCUUAGGGAUUAAAGAGUUGUCAAAAAAGGAAAGAAACAUUCUUUCUGAAAGGGAUUAAAAAGGAAGGAAAGUAAGACAAACAAAUUGGAAUAGAGGGAGUAAUAAUGAUAUAUUGUUCAGAUUUGCACAAUGACCAGUAAGGGAUAAUGCUUUCAUCAAGUGUAUGAAUCCCGUGAACAUACUUGGUGUCUAUUUUUAUUUUUGCUGUACUCUUGUCCAAUAUAUAGGGUGGGCAUGAUAACUGGUAUCAGGUACGGUAUGCUUUUAAAUUUCAAUAGUAUAUAAAUUCAAGAUUUCGCGUUAGAAAAGAGUUAAGACUUUUAGUCUAUCUUAACAUUCCACAACAUCAUGAGUUCAACGCGCUUGCUUGGACCAGGAGGCAACUGGAUUUACUUAUUUUCUCUUCUGUUUUUGCUGGAAAGGUGUUUCUAUUUUCCUAGAGAGUUUCAGAUUUUGAAUUUGUCAUUUCUUCUUGUGACAUAAAACAUCCCUGGACACCUUUCAAUUUUUUUAACAGCUCCCAUAUCAUUUUAGUUGGGGUAUAAGUGGCAUAUUAACAUAAGCUAGCAAAAUGAAUUAAAGUGAGGAGAUACGGGUACACUAUGUAAUGCUUUCUCACUAGUGUUGGCGUAACAGAAGUACAAAACCCACAUGCAUCUAAAAAUUUUUGGGUUCUGUGCUUCAUAGAAUUGGUUCUACUCAGGAAGCAUCUUGGUAACUAAUGCGUAAGUGUGGUAUUAUUUUGUCCUCUGGUUGGUUAGUCUGUGUAGAUGAUCUGGUAUGGUUGUUCCUCCCUUUACCUGCUACCUACUUCGAAGAAAGUGGGAAAUUAUUGGAUGUAUUUGAUUUACAGUUUAGACUGAAAUAAAUAAAUGAGGUUUUGAUGAUUCUAUGAGUUCCACCAAGAAGAUACAGUCUAUUUGUAUAUUUUCUUUUGCUUAUGGUGUAGGAUGAACACGUAAAUGAAGCUGAAACAGUUCUACAAACAUUAGAAUCCCUACAAAAUUAGUCAGGGCACACUUUUUGUUUGUCUUACUACAUUGUACAGUCCCAAUAACACAUCCUUGGUGCUGUUCUAAUCUAUAAAUUAAUUUACCUCUUCAAAAAGAAAUUGGGCAAUCGCCUGUCUAACGAAAUGAUCCUUCCUAGAUUAUACAGUUCCGCUUUCCUGUUAGUUGAAAGUGACAAAAAUUAAUGGCUUGAUUUUAGUUAAAUCGUAGGAGCGUAAUAACUUCAGUAUCUGAACAGUAUGGUCUUAUGAUAUUUGCUGAUUUACUUAAUCGACUGUAAGUCUUGAUUAUUUUAAGUUAAGUUGUCUAUAUAGCAGCAAUUCAGACAUCCAUUUCAAAUUUGUGUUCUAAGUGUUGUUGUGAUUCAGUAUUUCUAUUUUAUGUCCAAAAUGUUAACAUGACAGUAUGAACUGUGUGUGUUUACUAUUCAGUGUGUUGCUGAAGCUGCUGAAGACAUCUGGGAUCAUUACGGGUAUGACUUAGGAACAGAUUACGCUGGCAUUUUCAAAGCUCUUUCCCAUGCUAAUUAUAAUGUGCGAGUGGCUGGCGCUGAGGCCUUGGCUGCUGCUUUAGAUGAAAGUCCAGAUACGAUACAGGUUUAAUUAGCUUAUAUGUUCUGUUUUCUGGACAAUGUAUAAAAAAUUCUUAACUGACAGUGUGAAUGUCUUUUGGAUAAACAAUGCUUUCAGGAAUGUCUUUCAACUUUAUUUUCUUUGUACAUCCGUGAUGUUGGUUCUGGUGAAGACACCAUUGAUUUUGGAUGGAUAGGCAGACAAGGAAUAGCAUUGGCUCUACUUUCUGUGGCGGAUGUUCUUAGAGCAAAAGACCUUCCUGUUGUUAUGACAUUCCUAAUUUCAAGGGCACUGGUAAUAAGUUCUUUCUCUGAAUGAGGUGUUGUUAAUCAUGUCUAUGUUUCAAUGUAUCAUUAAGAUCUGCAUUUUUUCUUUUUGUUCUUUCUUUCUCUCUCUCAAAGAUUGCUAAUGAUAACUAACAGGUGAACGGAAGUUCUUCUUUACUUCUGUGCAUGCUGAUUUUCACAAUUAAGUUUUUCUAAGAGUUUGUCUUGUUAUAGUGAUACGGAACAUGUUAACUAUCUUACAAUUGAAAUAUUGUUGCCGAGAUACUUCUUUUCUUCGCUUUUAAGGAGCUCCCUCCUUGUAUCAAAAACUUUAAAGUCCACAUCUUCUGAUACGUACUAGCUGUUUUAUGAAUUGUGGUGCUUCACUUGGUUUUGUAACCCGUCAAAACAGAACUUUCUGGAAAUAUAUGAAAAUUCAUAAGAAAUGGUUUUAUUCUGUUUGGGUUUGAGUAGUGGGGGACUUUGGAAUUGCAGGCAGAUCCUAAUGCAGAUGUAAGAGGAAGAAUGAUCAAUGCUGGCAUAGUUAUUAUUGACAAACAUGGAAGAGAUAAUGUCUCAUUGCUAUUCCCUAUUUUCGAAAACUACUUGAACAAAAAGGUAUGACAUAUUUGUUUCCAAGAUCGUCUAUUUCCUUUAAUCUUAAGAGGUUUUAUACUUUUGGUUGGGGGUGAAUGAUUGGUGUUCGAGUUUUUCAUGUUGAUCCUAUUGCCCUUUUGUGGCAGCUAAAAGCUAGUUAUAGGCUUUGAAUAUGUAUAAUAUGUUCAAAUAACAACUGUUUGUUGAUUGUGCAGGCUUCAGAUGAGGAGAAAUAUGAUCUGGUCCGUGAAGGUGUGGUAAUAUUUACUGGAGCUUUGGCAAAGCAUUUGGCCACGGUAAUUGAUCCCCCCUCUUAUAAACUUGGUCCACAGUAAACACUUUUAAAGAUUUUGGUCCUAAUACCUUGUCUAUUUUUGAACAGGAUGACCCUAAGGUUCACACAGUUGUAGAGAAGUUGCUGGAUGUACUGAAUACUCCGUCUGAAGCUGUUCAGCGAGCUGUCGCUACCUGCCUUUCUCCACUUAUGCAAGCAAAGCAGGUUAGUUCAGCAUCUUCUUGAAAGCUUCUUUAUACUAUGCAGCUGUAACAAACGAGAAACAUUGCCACAUGUCAUGAUUGUAAAUCUUGAACAAUCUGCAGUUACUACACUCUUCGUUAACAGUCAAAAGUGUGCUUUUGUUUACUGCCAGGCUACUUUGACUCUUCAUAACGUACAUGUGUCUGAAGGAUAUGUUUUGGGUUUGGGUACCUCAUCUAGACCUCACGGAAUAUGCCUUGAGCUGGUUAAAUUUGGAUGUGUCUGACCAAUAAAAAAAGGAGAGGUGCCUAUACCCAACCCAUAUCCAUGUCCAUAUCCAUACUCGAGUCCACGUAUAAUAGGUUAACUGCAUGGAAUGAUAUAUGUUAUAUCCUAGUGAGUUGUGCAGCUUUACAUCCCUCCUGUAGAAGGGUUCUUACUUUUAGUAAAGCAAGUAAAAAGAACCAACAUGACUAUAUUCCGAACCAUCUGUUAUUAUCCUAAUUUGCAUGAAUCUUGAAGUGAGGCCUUUCAGUUCUAUGAUGAAUAAACUCCAAUAUCAUAAUCCAUGUGGAAUUUUGGUUCCCUUUUCUAUAGGCUAUCGGUGUUCUGAGGUGGUAACUGGAGAAUUUUUUGGUUAACUACAGACUCAUUCUCAUGCAUUUACCAUGCUAAUCCCGAUAGUCCCUUGGGAUAUUUCUGAAGGAAUUCUUGUCUCACAUAGCUUUUAAGUUUGUUCUUUUUUGUUGAGAAAGUUGACAUUUUAUAAACAAAAUAUAUCAGUAGUGUUUCAGUAGUAAUUACGUCAGGGAUUUAAAGUUAGCAAAACCAAAUAUAUCUAUCACCUACACUCCUCCUAAACUAUCUAAAAGUGAGUAAUAUCCUCCACCUUUCUGGAGAGUACAUAGUUACAUAAAAAAUAAAAGGUUAUAAGGCACUUCAAUUUCAAGCUCUGGAAAGGGAUGCUCUUGUUUUCAAAACAUCUCUGGUUCCUUUCCUUCCAUAUUGUCCACCUGAUGCAAGCAGGGACAAUCUUCCAUCUCUCCUUAUGGCCCGACAUGUUUCCUUCUCUAUUCCAUCCUGUUAGGGCUUCUGAUGUAUGCCUUGGCAUGGACCAACUGAUACCCCUCAAGUUAAAAAACACGCAUGUCACAGUUUCAGUGUCACUCUACAGUGAAUGAAGAGAUGGUUCGUUGUCUCUAUUCUCUUUCACUAAAAAAGCACCUGGAACAUAAUUCGCUUCCCCUUUUCAUUAGAUUGUGCUGAGUUAGUACUGCUUGCCUGGCUACCAACUAGGUGAAACAAGCCACCUUGUGGGGUAUCUUAACUUUCCAUAUCAUCUUCCAAGGCCAUGAUAAGAGCAUUGCAGCUGGCCUAUCAAGGUGCCUGUAAGCUGAUUUUGUUGUGAAUUUCCCAUUUUUGGCUCUCAACCAUUGUAGACUGUCUUCAUUUGUGUUAAGGCUAUUGACCUGCUCCAAAGAAUUGAAGAAAUCUGUGAGGUUGUCUAUUUCCCAGUCAUUUCCAUCCUUGGUUGUCCCUGACAUCUGCUACUACCGCUGCCUCCUUCUGUUGGUUCAGAUUGUAGAUCACAGGGUACAACUGUUUCAAGGGGUAUUGACCAACCCACACAUCAUUCCAGAAUGAUAUCCUUCUUCCGUUUCCUAUUUCAAUCCUUGAGUUUUUCCAUAAUUUAGGCCACUGGAUCCUGAUUGUUUUCCAUAAACCUACCCCAUAAGGGCCUGUAGCUUCCUUAGUGAUCCAUAGGUCUUCCAUUGUAUAUCUGGAAGCUAUAACAUCUUUCCAUAAAUCCUGUUCUCCAGAGACAAACCUCCAUAGCCACUUCAAGAUAAGACUCUGGUUCUGUACUUUGAGGUGCUUUAUGCCCUUUCCUCCUUUUUUGUUGUUGAUGACAGCAUCCCAUUUCACCAAGUGAUACUUCUUUUAAGCUUUUAAGUUUGUUUUGUAAUUCAACUUUCUCUAGCAUUCUCUCUCCUUGUUCUGUACUGGAUAAAGUCCAGGAAAUAUAAAUUACUAAUUUGUGUCCUAGUUCUGUUUCUAUAAUUUUGACUUUGUUUCUUCCAGAUUUGUUCGCUGAUAUUUUUCUUCCUUAGUCAUCUCUAUUUCUUUCUGCUGUCCUUGCAAUUUUUUUGUUAGUUUAUACCUAAUUUGCAAGCUGAAACUGGAUUCUCUUUUUGCCUAUCUCUUCUCUUGCACCAGGAGGAUGCACCAUCUCUGGUUUCUAGGCUUUUGGAUCAGCUAAUGAAGAGUGAAAAAUAUGGAGAGCGUCGUGGUGCAGCAUUUGGACUUGCAGGGCUGGUUAAGGGAUUUGGAAUAUCUUGCCUGAAGAAAUAUGGCAUUGUAGCAGCACUACAUGAAGGUUUUGCUGACAGGUUAGUCUUCUGGCAUGUUUCAAUCACUCUAAAUUAGAGGUUGAGUUACUCUGUGAUUUCAAAUUUUUUUUAAAAAAUAAAAUAGAAAACCUUCUCAAAAAAGUUACCCUGUGAUUUGACGCAGUGGUUUUCUGUUCUUUUCCAAGGAUUUGAUGAAAUGUCAUGAAUAACAACCCAGUUGAGGCAUUAUACAAUGGAAUUAGUGAGAAGAACUCAUUCUUCUAUUUACCUUUAUCUUUAUGUGCUAGACAUUGUUGAAGUGAAAUUUCAAGGUUAUGGUCGGUUGAAUAUAGGCUUUUAUAUCAAUGGUGAUUAUUAAAAUAUUCUGUAUGCCUUUGUAGCUCGAUUAUGUGCUUUUGCUUAUGUCUUAAAGAUGUAAAUGGAUAAAUGUUUCUAAGCUUGUUUUUUCAAUUAAAUCUCCCUGUCUUCACCUGCCCGCAACAAGGAAAAAGGGGAAAAGUGACUUUGUUAUCUUUCAGCUUGUCACCUCUUUUCUUUAUAGUUGCUACUAAAGUUCGAGCUCUGAACUUUAGACGACUAUUUCAUGAAAUGUCUACAUCUAUUAGCUGUAUUCUGACCAUAGUUAUAUGUUUCUAAUAUGAUCUGGGUGCUGUUCAUGCAGUUAUCGAAUUGUACAUUAGUAUUGAAAAGAAUUGGACCUGAAUAGAGAGGAAUGGAUAAAUAGGACUCAUACACCCGAUCCCAACUAAUGUGGGAUUGAGGUGUAGUGUAUGUUUCUGUUAUAUUAUAAAAUUUUAGGUCAUUUCUUGCUUGGCAUUUCAGCUAGCAAUAGUUGACAUUCAACAUUGUUUCAUUGAUAUGGCUUUGUCACAGGGUAGCCAAUUUCAUUAUAUUUCAAUAACUGCACCUCUCUAUAUAUGAAAGUUUCUCCUUCCAGGAUCUGAAUGAUGUUUAUUUGCAGGAAUUCGGCUAAGAGCCGUGAAGGAGCACUGCUUGCAUUUGAAUGCUUCUGUGAGAAGCUUGGGAAGUUGUUUGAACCGUAUGUCUUAUGUUUAUAUUUUUUUUAUCCAGAAAUCAUACAAAUGAAAUGCUUAUCCUUGUUGUAAUUUGAACUUGGAUUUUGAAAUUAAUCAGCUUUGUUUCACCUGUCUCCCCGUUUUUCCUUCAGGUAUGUAAUUCAAAUGUUACCGUUCCUCUUGGUUUCUUUCUCUGAUCAAGUGGUUGCGGUGCGUGAUGCUGCUGAAUGUGCUGCUCGGGCAAUGAUGUCUCAGCUUAGUGCUCAAGGAGUGAAAUUAAUUCUUCCAUCACUUUUAAAGGUUCUUAGUUUUAGCUUUUCCCCUGUACCUUACUCAAUGCAGUUGACUCUAUCCAUACCUUAUUGGUUUAGUGAUGUGGUUAACUGGAUGAUGGAGUAAUCUUGCACAGUGUAGUUUAUGCACACUUAUAGAGUACUCUUACAAGUCAUCCUCAAAAUUCUUUUCCAGUGUACAUCUAUCCCGAAAGUUUCAUGUAGUUUAUUGGGACUCUUAGAGAUGGGAAUAAUUUUGAGAAUGCUCUUCCGAUGAUGAGAAGUUGUUGCACAGUGGGUCACGUUGGUUAGCCUUUGAGGACUGUUUGGUAGCAUAGGAAUAGAGAAACUGUAACCUUAAUGCACCCUUGCUCUUUGUUUUUUGAAGAAUAAGUGCAGCGUUUCAUGAAGCAUAUUGUAGGUUUUUAUUAACUUUUGGCAUCUGUGUAUUUCUCUGAAAAGACAGUUGGAUCCUGAGUUUUGUUGAAAAACCUAUAUGGAUCUAAAAUGGCCAGAAAAACUUUGAUAUUCUGCUGUUGUUGAUGUGUCCGCUAUUAAAUAUUUUCCCAUGUGUUUCGGAUUCACUUAACUCAUUAUUAGUUGCCCUUCAUUACAUGAGACCUAUGUUUACAAUUAUUUUUCUGCGUCAGGGCCUUGAAGAUAAGGCUUGGAGAACCAAGCAGAGUAGUGUGCAACUUCUUGGUGCCAUGGCCUAUUGUGCUCCACAACAAUUGUCACAAUGUCUCCCUAAGAUUGUGCCCAAGUUAACUGAGGUUUGUCCUACUGCCUGCAAACUUAGUACAUCUGUCUUUGACUACAGUGCGGUACUAGUCUCCGUUUCUUACCGCUUUGUAAUACUGAACAGGUGCUUACUGACACUCAUCCCAAGGUUCAAUCAGCUGGACAGACAGCUCUUCAACAGGUUAAACUAUCUCAUGAUCAAAUUUCUCUUACUUUCCGUGUUCUACUUCGUGCCAUUUAUUUAGUUGUCUUUUGUUGAGUAUAGGUUGGGAGUGUUAUAAAGAACCCUGAGAUAUCUGCACUUGUCCCUACUCUUCUAAUGGGUCUUUCAGAUCCUAAUGAGUAUACAAAAUACUCCCUUGAUAUUCUCCUCCAGGUAAAUAUGUUUACUGAUAACAUGUUAUCUGGUUUCCAUGUACCUAUACUUGAUAGGUAAUCCGGUUUCCAUGUACUUUCUGACAAGCUAAUUCCUUGUUCCAAUUCUUUCAGACAACCUUUGUGAAUUCAAUUGAUUCUCCUUCUCUCGCGCUGCUGGUACCAAUUGUACACCGAGGGCUUCGUGAAAGGAGCGCUGAGACUAAGAAGAAAGCUGCACAAAUUGCUGGAAAUAUGUGUUCAUUAGUGACUGAGCCUAAGGACAUGGUACCCUACAUAGGACUACUGCUCCCUGAAGUUAAGAAGGUACAUCUGAAAAUAAUUGAGUAACAUUUAUGAUGAGUGCAAAAGUUGACUCUAACAUAAUUUUCACACGAUUUCAGGUACUUGUAGAUCCAAUUCCUGAAGUUCGAUCUGUUGCUGCAAGAGCUAUUGGUUCUCUUAUACGGGGUAUGGGAGAAGAAAAUUUCCCAGACCUGGUGCCUUGGUUGUUGGAUACUUUGAAGUCUGAUGGAAACAAUGUUGCGCGUUCUGGGGCAGCACAGGGACUUAGUGAGGUAUAAUUAUCUCACCCCGUGUUACUUGGUUACAUCUCUCUCUCUCUCUCUUGUUAUAAGGAGUUGAAAAUCUCCCUUUUUUAAGACUUUAUGUCUACAAGAAUCUAUCACUGGGAUGUGUGGGUGGGGUGGGGGUGAUGCUUAAGCUUUUUCACUUGAAUAUAUUUUGGAUAUUAGUUCUAAGUUAGCAUUAUCAUUGUCUCUUACCUUUGCUUCUUUGUCAAAAGGUAAAUAUAAUAGAUCUUUUUUCUUUAAAGGAGUUCUUCAAUAUUGGCGCCAAGAUUAAGGUUUUGUGCUGUAUGCAAACUUUGCUUGUCCUCUUGCAUCUGGUUCUGCUGGGUGAUUUAACUUUAAAAUUAGUUAUUGACAUUGUUUGCAUAUAAUAAGUUGAAAUGGCUUUUGAGCAUCUUUAUCUUAUUGGCUCCGCCUCUUUUAAAUUUGGCUGUUGUGGAGUGAGGGCCAAGAAACAAUAAUAAUUAACAAGCACGGAAACCUUUUGUGCAUCAUCAAGGAGUUUUCGGGCUGGUGGGUGGGGGUCUGGAACCAGUAACAAAGAAUGGAGACUCGGUUUUUGAGCUGCUUAGGGUUCUCGUUUUCACAUUCAACCUACAAGUGUUUUUUCCUCUUUCCCAGGUAUUGGCUGCAUUAGGAAUGGAGUACUUUGAGAACAUACUUCCUGAUAUAGUACGAAAUUGUUCUCAUCAAAAGGCAUCAGUACGUGAUGGGCACUUGGCACUCUUUAGGGUAAGAACUUUUUUUUUUAAAGUUUGUGUUCAGAAAGAUUGAUAACUUCAUACUUUUGUAUAUUUUCUCACAUGGAUUAUAUGGCUACUUGUAGUAUCUGCCAAGAUCUUUAGGUGUGCAAUUCCAGAACUAUUUGCAGCAAGUUCUUCCAGCUAUCUUAGAUGGUAAAUUUCUCUCUCUCUCUCUCUCUCUAACAAACAGGCGCAAACACUUACACAGAGAUGAACAAAAAUAGCAGUCGUUCUUUCUAGUUGGCAGAAACCGUUGAAGUAUUAUGAGGGGCAGUCUUUUAUGUUAACUUGCAUUGAGAGAUUCAAUUAACAAUUUAUUGUACAAUAGGUUUGGCCGAUGAGAAUGAAUCUGUGCGUGAAGCAGCACUCAGCGCUGGCCAUGUUCUGGUGGAGCACUAUGCAACUACGUAUGCCUUCUUUGUCAUCUUCCACAUCUAGUUUUAAGUUAGUCUCCUUAGUUUGCUUUUGGGGUCCUGUCAAUGGCUGUGAAUUUAGUGCUAUGAUAUUUAAUUGAUGUAGAUAUACACAAUGGAAGAGGCUAUCUUGAAGUGAAUAAGAAUGCUGUUAUGAUUACAGUUUGAACUAUAAUUGAUAUGCUGACCAUUUUGUUACUCGAUGAUCUUCUUUUGUUCCAGAUCUUUGCCUCUGCUUCUUCCGGCUGUGGAAGAAGGUAUUUUCAAUGAUAACUGGCGUAUCAGGCAGAGUUCUGUAGAGUUGCUGGGUGACCUUCUGUUCAAGGUAUGUGUCGUACGUCAGCAUCAUACUGUAGGAUGAAGCAGGUUUAUUAAUGUAUUAUUUUCUUCUAGGUUGCUGGAACAUCUGGAAAAGCACAUCUUGAGGGUGGUAGUGAUGAUGAGGGUGCCAGUACUGAGGCUCAAGGACGAGCUAUUAUUGAGGUACUCGGGAGGGACAAGCGUAAUGAAAUCCUUGCCGCAUUGUAUAUGGUCCGAACCGAUGUCAGCAUAACCGUACGCCAGGUACUAUGGGAUACUUCAAUCAUGGUGCUCGACUUAUUUGGAGAUGCUGUAUAGUAAUGAAUAAACUUCAAUUACUUUGUAUUUUCUCUUUUUCAGGCUGCUUUGCAUGUUUGGAAGACCAUUGUUGCAAAUACCCCGAAAACGUUGAAGGAGAUAAUGCCUGUACUGAUGAGCACAUUGAUAAGUUCUCUAGCAUCUUCAUCCUCUGAAAGGAGACAGGUAUGCUGUUACCCUUGUUUAUGGUAAACAAAAAUGUGUUCAGUAGUUCUGGAGAUAAGAAUUCUGUGGCCUGAAAUUUGCAGGUUGCUGGACGAGCAUUGGGUGAGCUUGUUAGGAAGCUUGGAGAAAGAGUCCUUCCUUUGAUUAUCCCAAUAUUGUCACGGGGUCUAAAAGAUCCUAAUCCAAGUAGAAGACAAGUGAGUACUUUACUUCUUCCGUAUGCUUCUAGGUGUUUUCUGUAAUUUCUCUGCGUGUUGUCAGUCUUAGAGUACUUAAUGAUAAUCUCCGCUCAUCUAUCCAAAUUGGGAGUUCCAGUUUCAUUGCGAACAGAGUUAAGGUAUAUCUUAGUGAGAUAACUUUGUACAGCUGAAGCGUAUUUGGGGAGUGAUGAUUUUCAGAGCAAAUUAUAUGAUUGAGCUUCUUUGUUAGAAAUGUUCUGGAGGUCUUGUUAAUAGGAAAAGAGCUAACAACUUUUGCUUAAGCUCUCUGUGAGCCCUUUUGUCUAUUCUGUAAUUCUGCAUCUUAAAAAAAUCACAUUUUUUGUAUAGGCAGUUUAUACGCUUAAAUUCCCAAAUUUGUUGCUCGACUUCUUCACUAACAUUGUAGUGGUACAAUAUAGUCAUGACUUCAUGGUGACUGGAGCGUGUAUCAUUCUGUCUUGAUAAGGUGGAUAAUUAGUCUUAUUUAUACUGUUCCAAACAAAAGGGGCCAGAAAUGGCCUGCAACUACAAAAAAAUCUCAUCCUUUUGCCUUCAUUAGACAUAGGCUUACCUUCGCACUUGCAAUCACAAUGUACCAAUAAGACGUAGUUUGUUUCCACUUCUCAUUUUUCUCUUCUGCCGACUUUUAAUACUUCUAAUUUCAGGGUGUCUGCAUCGGUCUAAGUGAAGUAAUGGCCAGUGCUGGCAGGAGUCAAUUGUUGAGUUAUAUGGAUGAGCUUAUCCCCACAAUUCGGACAGCACUUUGUGAUAGGUGUGGUAUCUUUUGUUUAUAUUACUAUGAAAAUAGCAGUUUUUUGCAUUUCCAUUCCAAAGUAAUUCCUUGGUUCUUUAUUCAACAGUACGAGCGAGGUUCGGGAAUCAGCAGGCCUGGCAUUUAGUACUCUUUACAAGGUAAACCCUUCAGAUCUAGCCAAUCAUUGAGAUAUUUUACUGAGAACUUCUCAACACUAAUCUUCGCAUCUGGUGGUUUGUAACAUAGAAUGCUGGAAUGCAAGCAAUCGAUGAGAUUGUUCCAACACUUCUUCAUGCACUGGAGGAUGAGGAUACCUCAGAUACUGCUCUGGAUGGGUUAAAACAAAUUCUGAGGUAGGCUAUCGUAUGUCUAGUUUAGACAUGUUUCUCUGUAUGAUCUUAUCUUUUUGUCCUAAAUUUAUUGUCACUUAUUUCAGUGUCAGGACCGCAGCUGUGCUGCCACACAUCCUCCCAAAGCUCGUUCAUCUUCCACUUUCGUACGUAUAUAUGAUUUCUUCUUCCAAUAGAUUUUCUGUUCUGUGGUUCUGCAGUACUCACCAUAAUAUCUGCGCAUACCUACAGUGCCUUCAAUGCACAUGCUUUGGGAGCUUUAGCGGAAGUUGCAGGACCUGGUCUUGGUUCCCACCUUAGUACUAUCCUUCCUGCUUUACUGAAUGCAAUGGGUUAUACCGACAUGGUAUGCCUCCUCACUGACAUGUGCAUUCAUUUCUGUAGUUUUCACAUUCGUUUUGUCAUUUUCAAUGGUUUAAUACACAGGAAAUUCAAAGUUUAGCAAAGAAGGCAGCAGAAACUGUUGUGUCAGUUAUUGACGAAGAAGGCAUGGAGUCUUUGUUGUCAGAACUACUGAAAGGAGUUGGCGAUAAUCAGGCAUGCUCUUCCUUUAUUCUCUUGCUUUUGUAACUCAUUUAUUGUUAUUCUUUUCUCUCAUGCUGCUUUAUACUUGUAAAUCCAGGCAUCGAUUAGACGAAGUUCAGCAUAUCUUAUCGGGUACCUGUUCAAAAAUAGCGACUUAUAUCUUGGUGAUGAAGCUCCAAACAUGAUAUCCAGCCUCAUUAUAUUGCUUAGUGAUCCAGAUUCUGAUACUGUGGUGGUAAUGUCAGGGUCAUUUCAUUUCCUUAGAAUGUUAAUUUGUUUGGUUUGGUUAUCUUACCACUUAUUUGACAGGUUGCAUGGCAAGCUUUGUCUAAUGUUGUUAGUUCAGUACCUAAAGAGGUUCUUCCAACAUAUAUCAAGUUGGUUCGUGAUGCUGUAUCUACUUCAAGAGAUAAGGAGCGUAGAAAGAAAAAGGUAUCAAUUUUCUGUAUUUCAGACUUCUGUGAUUUAUGUUUAAAAGCAUGCAUAUCACAUUGUUAUCAGUUGUUUGGUGAGUCUAUAUGUUGAGAUUUUGAUGUUCUUAAUGAACAUGUAGGGAGGACCAGUUCUUAUACCUGGAUUUUGUCUUCCGAAAGCUCUUCAGCCAUUGCUUCCUGUUUUUCUCCAGGUAUUCCAGAUUAUUAUUAUAAUAAUUGUUAUUAAAAUUACUAUUAUUAUUAUUAUCAUUAUUAUUCUUAAUAAGCUAUUCCAGCUUCUUUCUUUGUAAAUUCACGAUAGAUGUCGUGAUUUUCUUUUGAUGGGUGAUUUCGGGGUCUUGGGUUAAAGAACCUUUGCAUAUAUAUUCUUAUGUUUUUCUUUAUUUUCCUUUUGAUGUUGAUUAAAGAACCAAUAAUUUAUUAUUUCCUGAAUAAUUCAUUCAUUAGAGUUUCUUGAGUUAUGUGAUGAUGACAAAUAAUCAAAUUAAUGUUGGAAUAUUGCUAAUAUUUUUUAAGAACCUAUUUUUUCCAUUAUUUUUAAUGUAUGGAUAUUAGUAAAUGAUUAUUUGCAAGUUCAAUACAAUUAUUAUUUAUGACUGCGCGCAGCGUGGGUAAAUUACCUAGUUAAAUAAUUAAUAUAGUAGAAAAAGCAGUAUAUAUAGUAUUAAGGAAAUGUUACCCAUGAAUACUUAUCAAUUACUAACAGGAAGUUGUUUUAAAAUACGAAAACUGGUCACAAUGUCUACAUCUGACUAGAAGUUUUAAAAUUGAUUUUUCACAUUAUUUAGAAAUUAAAGUUGCACUUGGGUGAUAAUAUUUUUUUUACAUCAUAUAUUUCACUCAAAUGUGGUUCUUAGUCUUCUUUGCAUAUAGUUAUUUGUGUCUAAGCAGUAUUUUUUUUGUAUUAUACAUGUGUGGUAUUUUUCUUCCUCUUCUGUGGCUUUGCUCCCUAAAUGUUUAAUUGGAUUUAAAAACCUAGGAGAUGAUCUCGCUUCCAUGUUACCUUUUGCAAUGCAGCAUGACACUCAUCCAAAUUUCUGACCUUGUCAUUGCUGUCGGAUUUACAAUGCAAAUAUACAUGUCUCAACUAGAAUAAAAUAUUGAAAUGUGAUUGUUGCCAGGAAAAAUUGUAGGCAAAUUUCUUAAAUUACUGAAAUUGUAGCAAUCUAAUCUUAUCCAAACAAUCAAUGAAAUGGUAAAGAUUGAAUAAAGCUAAAAGAAAAUAAAUAGUUUAUUAGCCCAAACAGAAGACAUCUUUGAUUUUCUAGAUUGUUUGUAGGCAACAUAUAUAGUUUUGAGCUUUUGAUAGAUUGAAAUACUUUUGAAGGGGAACUGCACUUUUGGUUGUAGUAUACCUGUGGAUAUAUAGAGUAAGGUUACCGGUUUCAAAACAAAAGAAGAAAAUAAAUAGUAGAGCAAACCUAAGGAUUAAAUCACAAUAAAAACUAUUUAAGGUUACCAGUUUCGAAACAAAAGAAGAAGAAGAUAAAUAGUAGAGCAAACUUAAGGAUUGAAUCACAAUAAAAACUGUGUUCAAUCACCUGAUUUUUUUCUUUGAAAAUGUUAUCCCUUGCUCACUUGUCAUCAUUUCCCAUGUCAAAUCACCUGUUAUUUGGAUCUUUAAUGUACUCCUACUUUUAAUAGCAUUGGUUGUUAAUUUGGAGUUUACAAUUUUUGCAAACUAAAUUUCUUAUUCCAAAUGAAUCCAUCUUAUCUAUCUAAUAGCGUAUAUUUUGGUGGACGUUAAAGUAAGUAAGUAAGAUGCUUCAAGAACUAACUCUACUAUGAAAUGUUUAUGUUUUGCAAGUAUAUUCGUACCUUAUUAGAUAAAUAUGAUUACAGGGUAUUGAAUAUUUGGAUCUUUAAUGUACUCCUACUUACUUUUAAUAGCAUUGGUUGUUAUUUUGGAGUUUAAAAUUUUUGCAAAAUAAAUUUCUUAUUCCAAAUGAAUACAUCUUAACUAUCCAAUAGCCUAUAUUCUGUUGGUUGUUAAAGUAAGUAAGUAAGAUGCUUUAUGAUUGUAAAAAAAAAAGGUAAGAUGCUUUAUGAACGAACUCUACCAUGAAUGUUUAUGGUUUGCAAGUAUAUUCGUACCUUAAUAGAUAAUGAUUACAGGGUUUGAGUCUGAGGUUUAAAUUCAAAGUUGUUUUUCAAGUUUCUUGAUUACCCAAUCAAACAAUAGGUAGCCAUCAAUUAGAAGUUUUAACGAACAAGUCCAUUCCUGGUUAUUUCCCUUGCAUUUAGAGUUUCUCUCUGUGAAAUUUCAGCCUUAAUAUUAAGAAAUAAAUGACAAAAAAUACCUUUUCUCUCAGGCACUAAUAUCGAGAUGAUUGUCUAGAUUGAUAUUUCCUUCUUUCUUCUCCGGUGAUCCUUCUGAUCACCGGAAGCUACCCUCUCCUUUCCUUCUCUUUUUCCCUCCUAAAACUUUUCUAGAACUAACCCUCGAUGGAAGACACUAUAUACUUCGCAGUCGGAUUUAAAUCCUACGAUGUCACACGAACACCCGGAACAGCAGGUGAUUGGUAUGACUGGACAGAAAGAAGCAGGAACUUCGUCACAAGAACAACCUUCAACGCCAAAGCAUUGGAAUGGAUCUGUCAGACUCUACGGGAGGCCUCAAAAACAAAGGGGAAUACGGUGCGAAGAUGGAAGAAAAAGGAUGCUUUCUCAGAGAUUUAUUGUGCCAGAAAUUACAACAAGUAUGGAAGGUACAUUAGCUUGAUAAACAUCAAAGGCAGAAGAAGGGCAGUUAUUAUCAUCCCUGAAAUGACUAUCAACUCAGGAUGGUCAGGAAUUGCAGAAAAGAUUGAGAGAUUUAUCAGCAGCCAUAAACACGUGGGGAACCGAGGAGUACAUAGGUUGGUGGAUAAGAACAUACCGUAUGCAGAAAUUCUAAAGAGCAUUAAAUGGGCAAACAAGGGGAAUAUUGGUUCUAGGGAAGAGGGAAUACUCAAGAGGGGAGAUAGAAUCUGCAUUAAUGAUAAUGCAAACUCAUACAGUGAAGUUUUAAAGAAGAGUUUAGUGGGAAAAUUUGUAUACAGUAAAGGCGAAGCCCCAACCCUUGCAGAUAUCAGAAGGUGGACAAAUGACCUUUGGAAGCAGACUUAUGGCUUGAAUAUCUACGAGAUGGGAAACGACUACUUCUUAUUUGAGUUCUCCUCCAUGAUCACAGCAGAACAAGUAGUUGAAGGUAAUUGGAGUUGGAGGAACUCUCCAGUGCUUUUCCAAUGGUGGAAUCCGACGAUAUGUACAUCAUUGGAGACAGAGAGAGCUAGAACAACAUGGAUCAAAAUCGUUGGUAUGCCCCUUCAGUUUUGGUCCCACGGGGUGUUCAAAGCCAUCAGUGAUUUCUGCGGAGGAUGGGUCGAAACAGAGGAGGAAACACAACUACGAAAUCACCUAAAAUGGGCGAGAAUCAAGGUCGAAGGUGAUGGCACCAAAGUACCUAAAGAGGUCACGAUAGACGAUGGAAACCUCCAAUUCACGAUGCAAAUCUGGACUGAAAGUCCUGCAAGGGUGUUCGCCGGAGAAGAACAGAGCCAAAAAAUCCCUUCGAAAGUGGAUAUUACCUAACGGUCCAAAAUAUUUGUACCAAAGGAUCGUGAGUUGCAUCGUACUUUGGACAGUGAUAUGUCAGCCGCAGCUGGACAACCACGUGCAAAUACAGAGACACGUGAGGAGGGUUCCAAGUUUAAAUUAAUGGGCCAAGACCGACUUGUAGGUCAUGACCCAACAAUUAACUUGGGCCUCAAUUGUAAAGGUGGGCCGUUCAUAAUCCCUCAGACAAAGGAGAAAGCAUGUGAGGGUCACGUGACUUUUAAUGAAAGGGCAAAGGAGGGCCUGACUAAUCUUAAGACCCUGGCUACGCAAUUCCUCGAAGCUUUUAGUUCCUGGGAAUCGUCGUCAGUGGUAAACUUGGUUGAACAGACACCAAUUUCCAAACAGAGAGAGGCAUACGACAUUCAACAGGGGGUAAUGGCCCAAAACAGAUUAGAUAAAAAUCUGGGAAAGCAAUUACAAGAGGUCGGGGAAGGCUCAAAGCCGCCGGAAAAUUUCAAAGCUGGACACAGUAUGCAGAUACAACAGAUUCAUGAUGUCGAACCAGUGUCUACCAAUAUGCCCGAGAUUCGGCAAGAUCAAGAGGGUGAGGCAUCACAAUGGAUCAAUGCCCAUAUCAUGGAACUGAGUGCCGCAUAUGGGGUUGCUUUCGAAGGAUUUAGGGAAGAAACACAUGCCCUACUGAUGAGAUUAGAUGAGAGAAAGGCAGCACUGGAAAACAAGAAUUCUGAUAGUUCAAAUGCUACGCCCAGAAAUAGGGGAAUUGGAAAAAACGAGCUCAAAAAUCUGCAGUCCUGUCUGAACAAAGAAGUGGAGGGAUCCAGAACAAAAGGGAGAGUCUUGAGUUUGACUUUCAAAUGAAGGUAAAAUUACUAUCUUGGAAUGUAAGGGGGAUUAACAAUAUUUCUACAAGAAAUCUUGUUAAAAGUGCUAUGCUCAAGUGGAAAGCAGAUGUUUACUGCUUCCAGGAAACAAAGGUGAAUAAAGAUGUGGAUAGCUUUGCCAAACAUCUAUGGCCCAGCAGGUGGAUGCGUUGUGGGUAUUUGGAAGCUGAUGGAAGCAAGGGGGGGAUCUUGAUUAUGUGGGAUCGCAGGGUGUGGAAAGGUAGCGUAGUGGAGACAGGGCAGUUUUCAAUCACCUAUAAAUUCAAAGCAGUGCAUAAUUCUUUUAAUUGGUUUCUCACUGGUGUAUAUGCUCCUCACAUCAGAAGUGAGAAGCUAGAGUGCUGGGAAGAAGUAGCAGCGGUUAAAGAAUUAUGUGAAGGACCUUGGGUGACGUGUGGCGAUUUUAACACAGUCAGAACUAUGGCAGAAAGGAGAGGCUGUAGCAGAAUCACUAAUGUAAUGACCGACUUCUCCAAGUGGAUAGAUGAAAUGGAGCUACAUGACCCUCAUCUAUGCGGGGGAAACUUCACAUGGUUCAGAGGGCCAAAUCGUCACAGUGCCGCUAGAUUAGACAGAUUUCUUUAUUCAGUAGAAUGGGAGGAGUUUUUCAAGAACAUUAAACAGAUGGUCAUGCCUAGAGUGACGUCUGAUCACUGUCCUAUUUUGCUACAAUGUGGUGACUGGGGAAAACAGAAACCCUACUUCAAGUUCGAGAAUUGGUGGCUUGAGAUAGAGGGUUUCCGAGAACAAGUACAGGAAUGGUGGGAUGAAUUUGAAGUGAUGGGAUGCCCUGAUUAUAUACUUAGCAAGAAGCUAAAGAUGCUCAAGCCAAAAAUCAAGGAAUGGAGCAAGCGAGUCUGUGGUGAACUAGGAACCAAGAAGAACAACCUAUUAGCUGAAUUGGCUGAUAUUGAUCUGGCUCAAGAUACCAGGAACCUAAAUGAAGACGAAAUGAUGGUAAGGGCAACUGUCCUAGUAGAACUGGAAAAGCUGGCAGAAAAUGAGGAAGCUAGGUGGAGACAAAAAUCCAGAGUUUUAUGGCUAAAACAAGGCGACAACAACACAAAUUUUUUUCAGAGAAUGGCAACAGCACACAAGAGAUACAAUGCUAUUGACAAACUGUUAGUCAGAGGGGAGGAAAUCAAAGAUCCAGAACAAAUCAAAAUUAGCAUAAUUGAGUUCUAUAAGAACUUAUACACUGAACCAGAAGGUUGGAGGCCAGCUUUCGCGAUUGCAAAUUGCCCCAGAAUCUCCCAGGAAGAUCAAGAGUGGCUGCAAAGGCCAUUUACUGAAGCUGAGGUACUGGGUAUCAUCAAACAGUGUGAUGGUGACAAAGCCCCCGGCCCAGAUGGCUUUACAAUGCGCUUCUACAAGGAAUGUUGGCCGACCUUGAAAGAGGACCUGAUGCAAACAAUACAUAAUUUUCACCAGAACGAGUUUUUUGAGAAGUCUUUCAAUGCUACCUUUGUAGCACUUAUUCCCAAGAAGCAUGGAGCAUAAGAGCUAAAAGACUUCAGACCAAUAAGUCUAAUUGGUGGAGUCUACAAAAUCAUAGCCAAGCUUAUCACUGAGAGAUUGAAGACAGUUAUGGGAACUCUAGUGGACGAACAUCAGAUGGCUUUCUUAAAGGGCAGACAAAUAAUGGAUGCGACCCUUCUGGCAAAUGAGUUGGUGGACUCGAGGGUGAAACAAAACAAACCAGGAGUGCUUUGCAAGCUCGACAUUGAGAAGGCCUACGACCAUGUGAAUUGGGCUUUUCUCCUCAAAGUAUUGAGAGAUAUGGGGUUUGGCGACAAAUGGGUCAACUGGAUUAAAUUCUGCAUAUCCACUGUGAAAUUUUCACUUAUAAUUAAUGGUAAUCCAGAGGGUUUCUUUCAAUCACAGAGAGGUCUGCGACAAGGCGACCCCAUGUCACCUUUUCUGUUCAUUCUAGCUAUGGAAGGCCUAAACUCCAUGAUUAGGAAAGCAAGGGAGAAUGGAUGGAUUAGAGGUUUUUGUGCUAACAUAAAUAUGAACAAUGCUAUGGAGGUAUCUCAUCUACUGUAUGCAGAUGACUCCCUUGUAUUUUGUGAUGCAGAAGUUACACAAAUAAGGCACCUGAGAGCUAUCCUAACAAUCUUUGAGGGCAUUUCGGGACUUCAUGUCAACUGGCACAAAAGCUGCCUCUAUCCAGUGAACCAAGUCCCUAAUAUGCAGACCCUAGCUGAGAAUCUAGGAUGCCAAGUGGCCUCCCUUCCUACUAAAUACCUAGGAAUGCCUCUUGGAGCAAAAAAUAAAGAGCUAGAAGUGUGGUGUGAGGUUCUGGAAAGAAGUGAGAGGAAAUUAGCAAGAUGGAAAAGCCAGUACCUAUCUUUGGGUGGCAGGCUGACUCUUAUAAAAUCAGUCAUGGACAGCCAACCUACCUAUAUGAUGAGUCUAUUCCCUCUACCAGGUAACAUAGAGAAGAAAAUCAACAAGGCUAGAAGAGCUUUCCUAUGGCAGGGCAACAAGGAGAAGAAGGGGUACAAUCUAGUAAAAUGGGAUAAGGUGAUCCUUAACAAAAAACAGGGUGGGCUGGGCAUAAAGAAGCUAGGUGCACAGAAUGAAAGUCUACUGAAGAAAUGGUUAUGGAGAUUCUGUUGUGAAGAUGUGGCACUAUGGAGGAGAUUCAUUUCACAAAAAUAUGGGCUCCAGAAUAGUUGGACCACUAAGGAGGUGACUGGUACUUUUGGAUGCUCCGUGUGGAAAACAAUUAGAAGACUGUGGCCCUCUUUCAUUAACAACCUGAAGUACAGAAUUAGGGAUGGGGAGAAGACAAGUUUCUGGAAUGAAUUGUGGAUUGGGGAAGAGGUUCUGAGGAAUACCUUUCCAGAUCUAUACAUCUUGAGCUUGCAACAGAUGGAUAAGGUGGCACAAGUAUGGAGCCCUCAAGGGUGGAACUUGAUUUUUAGGAGGGCCAUGAAUGAUUGGGAAAUAAAUAGAGUAGCUGAUUUGCUGCAGACUCUAAAUGCUUUCCCAGGAGUAAGUGUAGGUUCUGAUUUGCCAAUUUGGAAACUACAUAGCAAGGGGUCUUUUACCGUGAAAUCAUGUUAUUGGAGUUUGAACUUCAGCCAGACAAUGACAGCAAAAUGGCCUUGGAAACUGAUUUGGAAGGUUAAAAUACCACACAAAAUCUCAUGUUUCAGCUGGCUGGUGGUCAGGAGAGCCUGUUUAACACACGAAGUACUACAGAGAAGAGGUAUUCAGAUUUGCUCUAGGUGUUUUAUGUGUGAGCAAGAGGCAGAGAUAAAUAGUCACUUGUUCAUUCAUUGCAAAACAGCUGUAAAUCUGUGGAACAUGUUCUUCUGUUUACUUGGGAUAAGUUGGGUAAUGCCCAGGACCUCCUUUGAUAUGUUGAAAAGCUGGGAAGGAGUUGGAAGAAGGGGAUCACAAGAAGAUUGGUGGAGAAGUAUCCCAGCAUGUGUUUGGUGGACUUUAUGGAAAGAGAGAAAUGAAAGAUGUUUUGAAGGAAAAGCAAGCUGUUUCCAGAAGAUCAAGAUGAAGAGUAUAAGUCUUUUGUAUUUUUGGUGUAAACAUGAUAUAGUGGGGGAAAUAGAUAGUUUAGUUGAUUUCAAAGGACAAUUGUAAAGCCUCUUAUCUAGUCUUUUAAUCUCGAUGAAGCCCUUUGGGGUUGUAAAUCCCACCCCAUCAGCUUUUGCUUGAUGGGCUUUUUGGUGUGAAUACCAGUUACUAUUAUCAAAAAAAAGUUUUAACGAACAAAAUUGAAUAAAUAGUACGUCAGAUUCAGAUAUACUAAGAAAGCAAGAGAAUUGUGGGGGGAGGUAAUAGGGGGAAGGUGAUUACUGCAGUUAAAAACUUCCAUGAAAGGUGUGUUUUUGAGAAAAGUUUCAACUCUUUCUAUGUGGCUUUGACUCCUAAAAAGAUGUGAGCUACCCAUCAGCCUAAGAUCAUCUUCAAAGUUCUAACUGAGAGGCUCAUAAAGUUUAUGCACAAACUGGUGGACACUCAACAGUUGGCCUUUAUCAAAGGAAGGCAGAUAAUGGAUGCCAUCCUUAUGGCAAAUGAAUUAGUGGACUCUAGAGUCAGAAGCAAUGCACCUGGCAUCCUCUGCAAGUUAGAUAUACAAAAAGCUUAUGACCAUCUUAAUUGGAUGUUUUUGUUGGAGACCCUCUUUAAAAGAGGUUUUGGUGCCAGAUGGUUAAGAUGGAUGAAGUGCUGUAUAAGCACAGUGAAGUUCUCAGUCCUUGUCAAUGGUUCCUCUACAAGAUUUUUCUCUUCACAGAGAGGUUUAAGACAAGGAGACCCCUCAUCUCCUUUCCUUUUCAUCAUUGCUAUGGAGGGUCUAAAUGAUAUGUUGAAAAAUGAAAACUACUCUGGAAAAUAGCUGGUCGAAGGGAUUCAGAGUAUGAAACAGGGUAGGAUCUUUGGAGAUUACCCAUCUGUAGUAUGCUGAUGACACACUAAUCUUUUGUGAGGCUAACAGAGAACAACUCAUGAUUCUCAGGGUGAUUUUUUUCCUUUUUGAAGCAAUAUCAGGGCUACACAUCAACUGGAACAAGAGCUUCUUGUAUCCAGUUACGAGGUCCCUAAUUUAACUUCAUUGGCUAGGACUCUUAGUGGAAGAAUUGGGGAGCUACCAACUAUCUAUCUAGGUAUGCCUCUGUGAGCCAAGAGCAGGUCUAUAGAUAUUUGAAAUGGGGUGGUAGAGAAAUGUGAGAAAAGAUUGGUGAACUGGAAGAGUCUAUACCUCUCUCUUUGGGGAAAAGAUUAACACUCUAUCAAUAGUGUCUUGGAUUCCAUACCUACUUAUAUGAUGUCCCUUUUCCCCAUCCUUGAUGGGGUCAUUGAGAGACUUGAUGCUCUAAGAAGAAAUUUCCUCUGGGCAGGAAUAGUGAAACCAAGAAAUUUCACUUGGUGAAGUCGGAUGCACUGAUUGGGAGUAAACAAGUAGGGGGUCUGGGGUAAGGAAUUUUAAAACCUAGAACCAAUGCCCAUUGAUGAAGUGGCUCUGGAAAUUUGCAUAUAGUGAACAGGCAUUAUGUGAAGGGGUAGUCCAGCUGAAAUAUGAAAUGGAAGAUCUUUGGACCACCAAAAGUGUCACUGGCACUUAUUGAAUCAUCCUUGUCGCCUUUCCCCGUCCAAACCACUGGUGUUGAACAUGAUGAUACCAAGAUAAGAAGAAGAGAGAAUGACUAAAUUGGAGAGUAACCCGACCUUUGUUCCUUCAAUACUCUUUUCUCUUAGUUCCUUCUCCAAAACCAAUCUUCCCUAGCGGUUUCUUGUUAUUUAUUUAUACGUUUUGUCUUAAUGGUGAAAUUGAAAAAUUAUCCCAGCAGACUGGCGUGAGGCAUCAAAACUGAAGUCUAGGCACUAAACUUACAUCGUAAUUGAUGCAAGGCCUCUGUUUAAUUCUGCUCUGUUGCUUAAUACUGGUGUAGAUUUGUUAGGCUCACUGUAAAUAAUCUCUUCUUUAUUUUGCUUUCUUGCUUCCUUGUUGAAGGUUGCCAACAUAUCCUUAAUGUUGAGGAAUACAAUCUUUACCAGUUCCAAAAUAAAAUAAAAUACUGGUAAUUAUAGUGGUAAAAAAUUGUAGUAACCUCCUAAUGGUCUUUUGUGGUACUUUUGUUUAUUGCAUUGCUCCCUGGACUUUCUCUAUUCAGUGUGAUUUUCUUUUUAACCUACAGGGUCUCAUAAGUGGAUCCGCCGAACUAAGGGAGCAAGCAGCUUUAGGUCUUGGGGAGUUAAUUGAAGUGACAGGCGAGAAAACACUCAAGGAGUUUGUGAUUCCUAUCACAGGGUAUGCACCACGGUGUACUAACACAAAUUUUGCACCAGCAUAAAGAAGUUCAUAUAGGCAGAUAUUAGGAUGAUUAUAUUUUGUCUUUUCUAGAUUUUAUAGUCUCAUUCUCUCUAAAGUUACUCAGCAUAUGCUUAACUUCUUUACAAUAUGCUUUCAAUUGCAGGCCCUUGAUUCGUAUUAUAGGUGAUAGAUUUCCUUGGCAAGUAAAGAGUGCAAUUCUGUCGACUCUGAGCAUCAUAAUUCGAAGGGGAGGAAUUGCCCUAAAGCCCUUUCUUCCCCAACUUCAAACAACAUUUGUCAAGUGCCUACAGGAUAACACAAGGUUGGUUCUCUAGGGCUUACCUUGUUUGGCUGGUAGAUGGGGAAAUGAUGUGUUGUAAACAUAAUGCCGCUCUGCCCUGUUUUCUCAUCCUUCCCAUGCCAUCUGUUGCUUCUUGAAGCGAUAGCUUCAGUGUUUUGUUAUUUUUAUUCCUUGGGCUUAUGUAAAUACUAUUAUAGGACAAUACGAUCAAGCGCUGCUCUUGCGCUUGGGAAGCUUAGUGCUCUCAGUACCAGGGUUGAUCCUUUAGUUGGUGAUCUGUUAUCUGGUGUGCAGGUCAUAGUUUUACUUUAUUCUUCUUCUCUACUGUCACACUUUAUCUCUUUCUAAGAAGCAGUGUUUAUUCCAUUAAGUUUUUGGUCAACAGACAUCAGAUACUGGAAUUCGUGAGGCUACUCUAACUGCUUUGAAAGGUGUGAUUAAGCAUGCUGGUGGAAGUGUCAGCAUUGCCUCUAGAACACGUGUCUACACCCUACUGAAGGAUUUAAUACACAAUGAUGAUGACCAGAUAAGAAAUUCUGCUGCAAGUAUACUGGGAAUUGUUUCACAGGUUAGGAUCAUUCUACCCAGGAAAUAUUUAUUUUCCUUUAUAUCCGAUUUUGUUUCCUGUAUUUAGCAGGUUUUUACUUAUUACUGAGGUGCUUGGUAAAAGUUAUUUGGUAAUUUAUUCGAUGGGGAUUUUUGCUCAAAAUAGAGCCGGUUGUAGAUCAUGAAAAUUGUCACUUUUUUUUUAUUUACUCUAUUGCCGGAUGCUUCAUUUAGAAUUGGCCUCUUGCAGUUUCCUCAUUCCUGUGUUCCUUUAGAGGAUAAUAAUCCUUAAACUAUUGCAUUUCUACCCUGUAAUUCGGAUGAAAUGAAAGAGGAACCAUAACUGGGAAGGGUCUUUUCUCAUUCGUGUGCAUCACCCUUUCACAAGUGUUUCUCUAGUAUUUACUUUAUUUCAGAAUUCUUUUUCAUUGGUCAUACAAGAUUGGACAAGAAAUGAUCAUAUCCAACAAAGAUGCAUGUAGCACAACAUUAGGGUAAACAAUUUGAAUGAGAAAAGCUUACUAACAGAAAGUUGCUUGAGGUGGUUUGCCAAUGUGUCCCACACGGACCUCCAAAAUGCUUGUUCCAUAGGCACGACACUUUGAUGAUUGAAGGUGUAAAAGGUGAUUAGUUAGACCUUACUCAAGUGGAGAAAAGUUGCCUCAAAAUCAGUCCGAUCAUUCAUAAUAAAUGCUGAUGUCUUCUAAGAAUAGAACAUAAUGGAGGCAGAGGAUCCAUAUAGGGUACACCAAAUAGUGGAGGUCACAACUGAAUAGCUUUUGUGGCUUAUUAGGUCUGGUUUGUAUGCAAUAGGAAUUGUUGGUCCCAACUCUAUUUUCCAAUAUUUCUUGCUUCAAUCCUCACUACUUUUCUCCAUUUGACGUCAGAUAUGACAAUAUACCCUUCACCAGAAGUGUUUCUACCUACACAAAUUUGAUUGAAUAAUAUGAGAUAUGCAUGCUAAAUGCUCGAAAACUAACAUAAAUCAUGUCAUUAGUACAUAAUAUGCUAGAUGUAAUUUUGAGUCGCAAGUAGACACAUGUGUGCUCUAGAGACCUCUAGUUUAGCCUAAAGACAAAUUAUUUAGUAUUGGAAUGAAAUAGGAUUGAGUUGUGCAGAAUAGAGGGGUUUGUGUUGCCAUUCCCAAACUAGUAAAGACAGAGUCAUUGAUUGAUUCAGUCUACUUCAUGUCUUUGUUCAUAAUGUACUUUGAGUGAUCACUAAUAAGACUGCAGCUCAUGUUUAAAUAGGCGGAUCUUAUUUCAUGUUUUCCUAAUUUUAGAGGUUUGGGUAUGGGUGAUUUGGGAUCAAAAGGAUUUCUUGUCGGAAAAUUCUUAUGAAGUCAAAAAGGGCCAAAUUUUACUAGUUGAGUUGUGUGUUUCUGGUGUUGAGCUCUUUUGUUAGUGCUCUUUUGCUGUGUUCUACUAUGUCUAACUUAUCAUAAAAGCUAGGUCUGUUGAGAAUGGUUGAGAUGCUAAACUGGUGCGCAUAUCACAUUUUCAAGUACUCCUUCUAUCCCAAUUUAUAUGACACACUUAACUUUUUAGUGCGUCCCAAAAAGAAUGUCACCAUUUUGGAAAUAGAAACAAUUUAACUUAAAAGUUUGCCUUUUACCCUUAAUGGAAAGCUUUAUAUCCACACAAAUGGUCGAGUAGUUUAGACUACAAAUUUCAAAAGUCUUUCUUUUUUUUCUUAAACUUUGUGCCAAGUCAAAUGGUGCCAUACAUAUAGGGGUGGAGGGAGUACUUGGUUUGCAUCUCACAGGUGUACCCCUUCUUUCAUAUCUGUUGGUUUUUAGUAAGAAUGUCUUCUUUUCACGGAGACACUUUGGUUGGAGAUAUUGCUUUCCCUCUCAAAUACAUAUUGCUUUAUCCUCUUUCUCAUCUUCACAAUGCUUUCAUUCCAGGAUUUCACCAUUGGUGAUCUAAUUCUCUUUCUCAAAUUUCCUUUUCUUUUAAAGCUUGAAAACUAGAUAGGCAAGUUAUCUUGCAAUCCUGUUAGCUUUUAUUAAGUAGUAAUAUUUAUAACUACUAUUUCCAAUUGUUGGGUAAUCUGCAUAUGGAGGUUUUUUUUACAUGGUAGUCUUUUUUGAAUUUUGUAUAUGCAUGGGAUCUUGACAUACAAUGCUUUUUCCCCUUAUCCUUUUACUCGCGGAUCGUUGUGGAGAUUCAAGGCCUUUGAUCUAUUAGAGGCUUAUCACUAGUGACCUAUUAAUAUACUAAACAAAUAUUUUACUGAUAUGUUGCAUUAAUAGUUCUUUUUUACAGUUGGUCUGAACUUUCUAAAGUAACAACUAAGCUUUCAGUACCAAGCCAUUUCCGAUUGGCUGUUUGAAGACUCAUUGACCAUGUAUGUGCAUGUGAUAGGUGUAAACUUUAUGAUAUAAAAUAAUAUUGUUGAGAUGGUGGAUUUUAUCAGCUCCUUUUAUCUGAGUAGGGUUGCUUUUUAAUACCAGGACUGUCUUGUUGCUUUUAGUAACAAAAUCAUAUGUUGCCUUCUCAAAAAGUUGUAGGAAGAGCAAUCAAAACCAUUUUCAUUCUUCACUUUUCAAGAGAAUUAAGCCUGAGAUUAUCUGAGCUAUGUGAUGAAAGUUUAGGGGCAUUUUACUUUGUAAAUUUAACUAUUGAAGUCUAGGGGGAUUUGUUUCAAAUGAUGCUUUAUUAAGCUGAGACUGAUGUAUCUGUAUAGGUAGACUAGCAGAAAAUGUUUCAGAUAAAGUUGUGUUUGUAUAUUGGAAUUGUGCUGAAUUAAUGGGCUUCUUUCAUAACAUCAGCUUAAAUAAGCUAAGUUCUAGUAGAUCUGUUUGUCUUCUUUUGCACAGACCAAUAGUAGUAUAAUUUAUGUCUCUUAUCAGAAUAGGAAAAGAAUAACAAGUGAGGGAAAAAUACCUUAUCAAAAAAACAAAUAAAUGAGGGAAAACAUGAUUCUAGAUUGCUGCUGAGGGAAACCUUGCUCACUUAAUGUUUUAUAGUCUUUCUUGAAACAGAAUCUGGAUGUACAGCUAAUUAUAUACGACAAACUGAUAGACAAUGAAAUCAUUAACCAAAUUCUUUAUUAGUUACCCUUAUCUCAAAAAAUUAACCAAAUUCUUUAUUAGAUUGAUUUGAUUCUCAGGCAGUCUCAUGGACCUAAAACUGUGUUAUUGAGAUUCUUGUGAUUUAUCCUGCUUUUUAUGAUUCUACAGUACCUGGAAGAUGGACAAGUUGUUGAAUUACUUGAUGGGCUGUCAAAAUCAGCUUCAUCAUCUAACUGGUGCUCAAGGCAUGGAGCAGUACUUACUAUUUGUUCAAUGCUUAAGCACAAUCCUGAUAUAAUUUGUGCUUCUUCGUCAUUCCCAUUGAUCGUAAAGUGCCUCAAAAUCACCUUAAAUGAUGAAAAGGUACGCCUGACAUUUAUCAUUUUGCUUUACAACUUGAAUUUGUUUUGUGAAAAAAUUGCUUUAUUCCAAUUGCCAUAGAAACUUAAUAAUGUUGCUUGAUCCAAUCCCUGGUAGCAAAAAUAAUUCCACUUUGUAUUGCCUUCACUGAAGGGAAUGUGUUUGAACUGAAAAUCAAUGGUUUGGUGCUCUUCUUCUUUCCAUUAAAUAAAUCAAUAAAUCAGUGUUAUAGUCCAACAGAAACUCUUAAAGAUCUUCCUUUUUAUAUCUGAAGCAUUUCUUUCUGAUUGAGAUACUUUUCUAUUUUUUCAAUUUUCUGUACGUCAAACAUCCAAUAUCUGAAGCAUCUCUUUCUGAUUGAGAUACAUCUCUAUUUUAUCAAUUUUCUGUACAUCAAACAUCCAUGAGAGGAUUCAGAUUUUCAUUUUCUUAUUAUAUUAUCUUAACAUUUUAAAAGGUUUUAUUCUGGAGAGUAAAUUGCAGAUGCAAGCAAUGAAACUGGAACUGUGUUGCCAGUGUAAUUUUUCAGAAAGAGUAGAAGUAAAUCUGAUGAUUUUUAUUUGUGAUUGCUUCUUUAUUUGUUAGUUUCCUGUUCGUGAAACAUCAACAAGAGCUUUGGGAUUGCUUUUAUGUCAACAAAUUCAGAGUGAUCCUACAAAUGCUACUUCACAUGUGGAAACGCUGGGAUCCAUAGUGUUGGCUAUGCAGGAUGAUUCAAGUGAAGUCAGAAGACGGGCAUUAUCUGCAUUGAAGGCAGUUUCAAAAGUUCGUGCUUCUGAAAUAUACAAAAUAACCUACAUACAUCAUAAGAUCAGAUGUACACGUCAGUAGGCUCGAUAUUUUUUUUGAAUUAACGUUGGCGUUUUCUGUCAUACAGGCCAAUCCUGGUGCCAUUGCCAUCCAUGUUUCAAAAUUUGGCCCUGUUCUGGCUGACUGUUUGAAGGAUGGAAAUACACCUGUGAGACUUGCUGCAGAGAGAUGUGCCCUGCAUGCCUUUCAAUUGGCAAAAGGUAUUACCUUUGUAUUUUCUGUCCUGUUGCAUCUUAACAUUCUGAUUCUAGUAUAAAUCUCUUCAAUCCUGUACUUGGCCGUAUGUGUUUGCUGUCCUUAUUAAGCUGCUUCUGGUACCUUUGUGUUUUUUACUUAUGCAUUUGCCGAUUUUGUUGUAAUGCUUAGAAAGCUGCUUCUAGUGCUUGCUAAUCCUCUUCAAUAUUACAGUCCUCUGGUUUUGGUAUGGCAAGCGCCUAAAUGAUCCUUUCUUGUUGUUGGCAGGUACAGAAAAUGUUCAAGCUGCACAGAAGUUUAUUACAGGAUUGGAUGCUAGACGAAUAGCAAAGCUCCCUGAACACAGGUGAAAAGUUUUUAAUUACUCCAGAUCUGUUGCUUACUAUUUGCAUAUUGUUUGCCUCUGACAAAUUUGUUUGUUGAUUUAUGGUUUAAUGUCAUACCAUUCACUAGUACAACAUUCUAUCACAGAUUUUCUUCAGCUUCUUCUUUAUCCAUUUUACUGUCACUUCUGUUGUUACUACUUACUCUGGUCUCUUGCAUGAGAUUGAAUUACCAAAGAUCACUAAACUACUUUAAAUCACUAUGGAAGAUACAUCUGCCAUUAAAUUAGUACCAUUUGUGAAAUUAAUUAUGCAAUUCUUCACUCAGUUGCAUGCAAAUCAAUAUAACAGUCCUUAUGUUUUGGGGGUAGGUUUAAAUUAGUCCCUUAAAUAUACUCCCGGGUAAUUAUGAUCCUUAAGCCAAGAGUGGGACUUUUGGUCUCCCCGGAUUGAUUUAAGGGGAAGUGUGGAAAAAGAUUGUAUAGCAACACUGGAAAAGUCCCGUCAAAUCCCAGAAAAAGCACCUCAACAAGACAUCUACUAUUUCUCUUUCUGCACACAGUUCACCAGAUGAAAAUCAUUCUACAUUGCAUCUGGUAGACUGUGGAGAGAGAAAUAGUAGAUGUCGUGAAGAUCAGUCCAAUUCCAUUCAUUAAGUUAAAUGGUGUUGCUGAUCUGUGCACGGUUCAAAACCGGUGGUAAUGGUCCUGCUGCUGUACGCUUUUCCACCUGAUUGUUAAGCUUUUAGUCCACAGCAUCAUUUGAACCACCUUACCAACACAUCAUUCGCAGCACUUCCAACUGAACCAAAUCCCUGGGGGGAUUUAGUCUAUCUUUUAUCUUCUAAGCUGCUUUAUAUUGUGCACUUUUAGCAUCAAUUUUAUUUUCUUGUAUUUGGGCAGCUGUGCCUUCAACUGGCCCAUCAUAUUCUAACUGUUUUCAUGUUGCAGUGAUGAGAGUGGAGAUAGCGAUAAUGAUGCCUCAAGUGGCUGACAAGCUUAUGAUUGUAAAACACUUUUUUGCCUUCAAAGUAGCUAUCCUCAAGGUCGGUGAGACAUGUUAGAAGCGGAAGUUCUGCUUGAGAUUUAAUAUUUAUAGUAACCAACAUACAUAAAGAUGCCUAGGCAAAUAAGGAUGAGUUUGAUAUCUGCCAAAUUUUUGACUCCGGGUAGAUUGUGCUUCCCAUAUCUUUUGUAGUUGUGUAUUAUUGAGAUUGAAUAGCCUUUGAGAAAGGCAGGGAGCUCACAUUCAUGUAUAAAUUUUGUAAAUUUUCUCCACAUAUAGGAAAUUACUGUUUUUAUUUACAUUGAGAUAGUACUCAUUUUUCCUUAUAGUGAUAAGUGAUAACCUUUGUUCUACAAAACAUGCCACUUUGAUACCAUUAUAGAGACAAAGGGGAAGUAAAUUAACAAUAGUGGAAAUGGUUCCUUUCACUGAGUCGAUUCUGGGAUGAAACUUUACUGUUAUAUCAUCUAUUUGCUGGAGGAGUGUAUGUCAUUAGAGUGCAGAUACCAACUUCAGGAAAACUGUUUCCUGAUGGUAAUUUAUGAAGAAAUACCAGACUUUUUGUUCAUGAAUGGCAGCUUAGAGACUUGCUCAAAUGAGGUCAUAUCUCAGCAUUUAUCUUUUUCAUCCUGAGCACUUUAAAUUGACUUGAAAGUUCAAAUUCCCGUUUCCUCAAAAAGGAAUGUGAUCUCAUUUUCCUCAAAAUUAUAUCAAGUCAUAACUAUACAUGUUGCGUUAAUUUAUGUAUCUUAAUCAUUUGUAUGGUUGGUAUUGUUGGGAUUUCCCUUUUUAAUCAGUUGAUUGAUAGUAGUAAAAAUGCUGAAGUUAGUAUCUUGCAAGAAUUAUCUCUCUAUUGAGGUCAUAUUUUACCUAUAAUAGAAUGAAAUAUUUGUGUGCAUAGUCCAGUCAUUAGUUGAAGGCUUGAAGCUAACGGAUGCUAACACCAUCAGUAGCAUUUGCCACUCUUUCUGUGCUUUCAAUUUGAAAAUAAUGAUCAGCCCAAUUAUAUUGCUAAUCAUCCGUAAUAGUGGGAAUGCGUUCACCUAAGAGAUUACUCUUUGGGUGUUGAGAUGGAGGAAUAUAUUUUCAAUUUUUAAAUGUUCGGUUGAUCAAAUUUUUUGAAAACAUUCUCGAAGAAAAUAAGUUUAUUAACAAUUAUUUUACAAGUGACAUUCUACAAUAUCCUAUUGGAAGUUUCAUCAUUUACGGACAGUAGUGUCAUAAGAAAUACAACUGAAGCAAGAGAUGAUACAUUCUAUAUUAUCGAGAAGGUGGGAAUUUUACUACAGGUGAACAAUGAAGAGAGAGAAUUGACAAUGGAAAAGGAUCAAGUGAAGGAGGUUUCAAACAACAUGGGUGAAAGAGUUGAGGAAGUUAAUAAGGUAGAUGAUGAUUGGACAAUCAACAUCAUAACAAUAAAUAAUAUUAUUAUUAUUAAUUAAUAAUCUAUAUAAAAUGUAGAUUACUGGAUAUUAAGAUAAUAAGUGCUAAUUUAAUUAUUUCUUAAAAAUAUUUCUAGAAGAUGUACAAAAUAAUAAUUAAAAAAAUAUUGUUUACACUAAAUACGAACUCAAUUCACAAAUUUCAGUCUGGUAUUUUAAGUUAUAAAUGACACAAUAAAAAUGAAAAGCUAAUUACAGUAUCACAAAGGAAAAUAAAAUACAUGCGAAUUUUCAGUUUGGAUAUUUAUUCAAAAAAUUAUCUCCAAAAUAAUAUAAUUUUAAUUUGAUAAAUAAUUAUAUCAAAACUGUCACAUAAAAUUGCCAAAACCAAAAAUUGAUAGCUAUAUAUUAUUAAUAAUUUGCAGAUUUUAUAAAAUUUUUUUAUUAAUUACAAAAAUACUAAGAAAUUACAAACACGCGUAAUCCUAAUUAAAUUCCCUUUUUUUAUAACUAUCCUUAUUAAUCUCAACAACAUUCUUUAUAGGGAUAAGAUAAUUUGCAACUAUUCUUAUUAAUCUUAACAUCAAAUAAAUGUAUACUUAAUUUUUUUUAUAUGGUUAAUAAUUUUGAAAUUAAAAUAUUUUGAUCUCAAUUUGUGGUGUAGUUAUUAUAAUAAUUAUAUAAUGUAACAAUAAUGUGCGAAAAUCAUUUUUUCGGUUGAUAAUAUUCAAAAGCUAUGCACAUAAUAUUAAACAAAAAUAUUAUUAUAAUUAGUAAUGAUGAUUUUUUUUAAAAUUAAAUGGUUAUCCCCUUCUAAGUGGCAAUCUAAUAUCAAGACACUUGAUAGUUUAAUAACAACGUACAAAUUGAUAAAAAAAAACUUAUAAACAACAAAAUUAACUAUUUGAUUAGAUAAUGAAUUAAAAAAUGUCAUGAUAAAAAUAAAUAAGUAAUCAAAAAAAUUACGAAAAAAGAAGAAAAGGAAAACUGUAAUAAAUGAAUAGUUAAAAAUAUGUAGGUAAAAUAUUUUUUUUAAAAUAAGUUAAAGAUUAAAAAAAAAAAAAAAAAAAAAAAAAAAAAAAAAAAAAAACUAACCUAAAUCAUCCCUAAAAUUCCUUACCCACUUACCUAACUACCCUAAUCUAUUAAAACUCAACUAUAUAUAUUAAUCUUCUACUUAUACAAUAGGAAAGACAAAAGAAAUGUUUCAAAUCAGUAUUUUGUAAAUAAAAAAAAUAUGUCAUCAACAGAAAUGUUUUUGAAUUAUCAUUUCUUAAAAAGAAUAAAUUGAAAAUAUAAUAAAUCUGUAUUUUACAAAAUAGUGUCACAUGUCAUCAUUAAAAUAAUUCUCAAAUUUUUAGUAUUUAAAAAAAAUAAUAUCUCCAAGAAAAUUAUAAUUAUAAUUUGAUAAAUAAUUAUGUAAAAAUCUGUCACAUAAAACCGCCACAAACAAAAACUAACAGUUAUAUAUCAUAUAUAUUUAUAUAAAAGAGAACCCUAGGCCCGCCUACGUGGCACCACCACAAGUCAGGAUUCCCUUUUAAAUUUAUUUAUUUCCAAAACUAGCCUUCCCCUUUUAAUGAAAAUUUGUGAUUUUUAUGAAAAGUUGCGACUUUAAUGAAGAGUUGCGACUUUUAUGAAAAGUUGUGACUUAUAUGAAAAGUUGUGACUUUAAUGAAAAGUUGCGACUUUUAUGAAACGUUACGACUUUUAUGAAAGGUUGUGACUUUCUGAAAGGUUGCAACUUUUCCAAAUAGCUGUAACCUUUCUGAUAAGGCACAAUAAACAUUUGUUCACACUACCCUUUGUUGUAUAUAAAUAGAGCGAUUUUCACUCAUUUUAAAACAACAAAAAUUUUGAACCUCCUCCUCCUCUUCUUCUUCUUCACAAUUAAAUUAAAUAUUCGUGUACUUUGCUCCAGUUGAGUGACUCACUGACACCAUUGCUUAUGUUACAGCUCUUGGUAUGUUUUUUUACAGUUAUUAAUUUAUUCUUAUGUUAUUAAGAAUAAAUGAUAAAAUGUUACAAUUUUCAUUUUCAUUAUUAAUGUUUGUUACUACGUAAUCUUGUAUGUAAGAUAAUAUAGUGUUUUAGUUGUAAUGAUGGAUAGGCUUUAAAUAUUAUUUUAUAAACUCCAUGAUAUUGAAUUCCUGCGCGAAGCGCGGGUAAUUUUACGAGUAUAUAUAUAAAAGAGAACCCUAGGCCCGUCCACGUGGCGCCACCACAAACCAGGAUUUCCUUUUAAUUUAUUUUAUUUACAAAACUAGCCUUCUCCUUUCAUGAAAAGUUGUGACUUUUAUGAAAAGUUGCGACUUUUAUGGAGAGUUGCGACUUUUAUGAAAAGUUGUGACUUUUAUGAAAGGUUGUGACCUUUCCGAAGGGUUGUAACUUUUCCAAAGAGUUGUGACCUUUCUGAUAAGACACAAUAAGCAUUUGUUCACACUACUUUUUGUUGUCUAUAAAUAGAGGAAUUUCCUCUCAUUUUAAAAUAAUGAAAAUUUUGAGCUUCUUCUUCUGGACAAUUAAAUAAUUGUGUGUUUUGCUCCUGUUGAAUGACCCACUGACACCAUUGUUUUUGUAUCAAUACACUGGUGGAUGGAAUCAUUAUAUCCUAAGAGGAUCUAUUCCUUUAAAUCUCGGGUACUAGAGGGAAUAAUUUCCUUAAGGGGACACAAUGCAUUCAGUGGGCUCGAUUUUUUCCAUUCUGUUUCAUUCUAUUGUUAUAGAUCCUGGUAUGUUUUUUACAGUCAUUAAUUUAUACUUAUAUUAUUAAUUGUUAUUUUUGAGUACAUGCUUUAAAUUUUGUUGUUUAUGUUUCUGCAAAAUUAUUGUUACAAGUAGUUGUUAGUACAGAUUAAAUAACAAAUGUUAAUUGAGUAUUCAAACAAGUUUUCUCUACUGGAAUUAUUGAAGGUACAAACAAAAAGCCCUUACAAAUCUCUAAUUUCUUCAUCAACAACGUCAUUUCUUCACAUACAAGGAUGAGAUUUUGUGUUCUUUAGAAAAUCCUCUUAGAGUUAAUAACUUUGCAUGCCCAUAUUUUUUGUUUUUAUGUUGUUGUUAUCUAUUUUUACUAAAUUUUAUCAGUGGUAUUAUGAGUACUUUAAGGAAUGAAAGUUGAUUGAAGUGUUAGUCAAUUUUUUGAGGUAUGUUAUUUCAAAACCUGAGAACUUUUCUGGUAUGAAUGAUUUGUUAUCAUCAUUGGAUAUCUCAUAGUUUACUCCCUUUGAUGUAUGUUUUUUUCUCGUUGUUUUGUUGUCUCCUUAAAAUUAUAUUUGAUUAUUUUUCGUUUGGUAUGUAUAUGAUCUCACUUGGAAAAAACUUUCGUCCUUUUAAUGUUUAUCUUUUUUUCCUUCUCAUUCAGCUCUUCUAAAUAUUUUUGGUGUGAGUUAUGACUAGUUUUGGCAAGCUUAAUUUGAAGAAUAUGAAACAAAACCUGCUCUAAAUAAAAGUAAUAUAUUAAGCUACAAAAGAUAUGUCUAUAAACGUAGAUUUGUUGUCCUUUAUGUCCCAAGUCAUUGCUGAGCAUUUGAGUAAUCUAGGUUAGACUCAUUUUUAAUUUUUUAAUGUUCUAGAAUAUUUCUUUAACAUGAAUCUAGAAUCCAACAUUUUGAUCUACUUGUACUUUCAUAAUGCAACAAUUAUACAUACAUAUUGAUGAAGCAUUGAUGAAGCAUCUAGAAGGGCCUUCAGAGCAACAGUUUAAUGAAAAAUGAAUUUUUAAAAGGGUCAACAAUAUUAUUUUGUUAUUUUUUCACAUUUAUUUUUCUCCUUCUAUAAAUUUUGUUAGAGUAACAAAGUAACAAUCACGAAAUGUGGUGAACGUUUGACCUCAGACAAGCAGAUUGUCUUUAAAAAAAUUAUUUAUGUUGCUGUGUUGUACAUUUUUAACGAUCUUAACUUAUUUAUAACAAUUAUUGAUUAUCGAAAACGUUUACAUAUUUUUUUCACAAGGAGUUAUUCUAACCAUAAAAUUAUCAGAUUCUAUAUUUUUCAUGUACAAAAAAAUAGAAAAAAUGAUGUUUAAUCGCUACAUAAAAACAUCACUCAAUUUUAACAAGACAAUUAUAUCAUCAAACAUAUAUUAUGAUAAAUUAUGUAAAAGAUAAAAAUGAUUAGAUAUCAAGAUAUUUUUAAUCAUUCAUAUACAUUUACAAUUCUUGAGAUAUGUGAUAAUGUCAAAUCAUAUAAUUUCUGUUGAAAUGUUCUUAAAACCUACUAAAAUUUACUUUUUUUUUCUUAUAAUAGUCGGUUAUUGGAAAGGUUGUUCAAAAGCUUAGAAAGAUUAUUUAUGCCCGCGCAAAGCGCGGGUAAAUUACCUAGUUAUUAAUAAUUUGCAGACUUUUUAAAAAUAAUAAUUUAUUAAUUAAAAAAACCAAGAAAUUACAAAUCAACUAAAUGCACGUAAUCUACUCUCCCAUUUCUCUCCCACUUCAUGUAAACUAUAUUUAUUAAUUAAUUUGUCGAUUUUUAAAUCUUUUAAACUUAUCAAUAAAAAUAAUAAUUUUAACUUUCUUUUUUUUGUUAUAUAAAGAUAAGAUGAUUUGUAACUAUCCUUAUUAAUCUUGACAAAAUUCUUUUUCAGUGAUAAGAUAAUUUGCAACUAUUUUUAUUAAUCUUAACAUCAAAUGAUUUUUUAAAUUUUAUAUUUAGAAAAAUAAUUUUGAAAUUAAAAUAUAUUGAUCUCAAUUUGUAGUGUAGUUAUUAUUUCUUUAGCAACCUAACAUAUUGAGAAGAUUUUCAUAAAAUGGAUGAUGACUUUGAAAGUGCUAUUUUCUUGUUUUUGUUUUUAUUUUUAUCAACUUUAUUCUUAUCAUUUCUAAAUUUUCAUUUAUAUCUUACAAAAUCUCUCCACAUGUAUUUAGAUCUAAGAUAAUAUUGUUUUCAAAAUUUUGAAUUAGAAUUGAAUAGCAUGUUGAUGUUGGUGGUGCUUAUAACUUGUAAAAUUUAUCUAAUUAAUAUUAAAAAUAAUAUAUUAAUUAUUUAUAUAAAAUUAGCUUAGAAGUUUUUAAUACUAAAUUCUUAAAUUAUCAGACAUUGUUAAGUUAUAUGUAUUUAUUAAAGAAUAAAAUCUACAACAUAUUUAGAGAGGCGAAACAAAUCUAAAAAUUCCUAAAAUAAAAGAAGAGACUUGGUAAAUCAAAGAAGUGGACGAUGAUCCAUUUUUUCAUCUUUCAAUUUUUUCUUUGCAUUGAAAAAAUAAUUUAUUUUUAUUUGGUAUAAUAUUAAUUUGAUAUUUAUUUUUAUGUAGUAUAUAUUAUUUUGUUCAUAAUAUCUUUAUUUAAUUAAUCACUCAAAUUUAGUAUUUUGUAUAUUUUUAUUUUAUUAAAUUGUAUUAGAUUAAAUGAAAAUUAUCUUAUUUUGUAGGAUUGAACGAGAGAUGAGUGCUAAAAAGGUUGCAACAUGCUUUGUAAAUUAUAUUUAGAUUUUAGCUAAAAGUAGAUACAAAAUUUUUAAUACUAGAUUUUAGAUUGAUCUAUGAAUUUGUAAAUUUAAUUAAUUAACACAAAUAUCAAUUGAACACACCAGAUAUGCUAUAUAUUCAUCUUCAUUAUACUAGAAGAAAGAGAAAUUGUUAGAAUAACAUUUAUUGUCUUUGAAGAACAUACACUUAUAGCACAUAAAUUAGUGUAAAAUUUUGUUAGCAUUACUUAUAUAUAUAAAAUUAAAACGUUAUUUUUUAUUAUAUAUGCACUUUUGUUACUCAAUAAUUAUUUGUUUUUGUUAUUUCUAAAUUUAAUUUUUUUUAUAUUUUAAACAUCUGCGCAACGCACGGGUACGUAUACUAGUCAUCCAUAAUAGUGGGAAUGCAACCACCUAAGAGAUUACGCUUUGGGUGCUGAGAUGGAGGAAUAUAUUUUUAAUUUUUUCAUGUUCGGUUGAUCAAAAAUUUUGAAAACAUUCUCUAAGAAAAUAAGUUUCUUAACAAUGAUUCUACAAGCGACAUUCUACAAUAACCUAUUGGAAGUUUCAUCAUUUACGGACAAUAGUGUCGUAAGAAAUACAACUGAAGCAAGAGAUGAUACAAUCAAUAUUAUUGAGAAGGUGGGAAUUUUACUACAGGUGAACAAUGAAGAGAAAGAAUUGACAAUGGAAAAGGAUCAAGUGAAGGAGGUUUCAAACAACAUGGGUGAAAGAGUUGAGGAAGUUAAUAAGGUAGAUGAUGAUUGGACAACUCAACAUCAUAAUUUUACAGUAAAUAUUUGUCACGAUCAAAAAAUUGGGUGGGAUGACACAUGCCUUAUCCCACUAAGAAUAAAUGCGAAAGUAAGAAAGAAAUUAAGAACGAAACAUAAUAUAAACAUGUGAAACUCAUAAUAUAACACUAUCUUCCCCAAAAUAUGGUGUCACUUGUACAAGCUUUUAAGUAAUACAAUAGAUUCAAAAGAUAUACAAGUCUGAAUGUCUACAAUACUAGAAUAGUAUAAAAACAUAAUCAAAAGUAUGUGAUGGUUGUCGAGACGCUAGCAGCAAAGGUAAGCCUUAGAGGAAGUUGCAGGAGGAAUGAUUAAGAUGAACCAGGCUCGUAAAUUACACAAGUAUAGAAAGCAAGGGAGUGAGUAUCAAACAACAACAAUAUUUAGCAAACAUCCCUUGCUAACCCUAAAUAAAGUAAUACCAAACACAAGUACCCUAACACACUUUUCGAACCUCCACAUACUACAAUCUGCAUAGAAAACAGUCCAUUCCAACCUAAAAAUUUCACAAGUAAUAGAGAAGCACAAUACAUGUAAUACACCAUAAUUAGCACAUCAAAGUAUUCAUAACAUUAUCGUGAUCUUUCAGAUUCAAAUAACCACGAACAGGGGUAGAGCCACCCCCCUAUGUCAAUGGGUGUCUACCGACACUAUUUCAUUGAAAGUUUUUAGUAUUAUAUAAAUAAUACUACAAAUAAUAUUGAUGACAUUGCUUGAACAAGUGAGCUUCUUGGCUCGUUGGUUUGUAAGGUGAACAAAAUCGUCAUUCUUUGCAGGAUGACCAAGUUUGAACCUCAGCGAGGCCAAAUUUGGCAUUUAUUUUUUGGGCGUUUUUAGAGAAAAGUUUAAUAUUAGAAGGAUUCAAACCACCAACCUUCUAUUCCUAGUCAAAUUAGGCUAAAAUAAACUAGUUGAAUGACACCGCUUAUAUCAAUAUCUAUUCUUUAUUUAUUUUAAGUAUCGACAUCGCUAACAAAAAUCUUACGUACGCCACUGAUCACGAACAUAACAAUUCACUCAGAAAGGUCAAAGGAUAAUGAUGAAGUACAAUACAAUAUAAUACAAAUGACAUACAUAGUGAUGCAUGAUUGUCUUAUCGAUACACACCUGCUGCCUAGCAACACGGGACCCAUGGGGGACAUAUGAGUCUAUGCAUCCGACAAAAUCAUUUCCAUCUGCAUAAUUCACUCGUCAGAAUCAUUUUACAUUAACAUAUUUCAUUCAUCGGAAUCAUUUUCCAUCGACAUAAUGCAUUCGCCAGAACUAUUUUCCAUCGGCAUAAUUCAUUCAUCAAAACUAUUUUCCAUCACAAUAGAACACUCGCUGGAACCAUUUUUCAAUGGCAUAAUUCAUAAUAGUGUCUCAGAACCAGUGCAAAUAAGUAUGUUCAUAUGCAAAAUGAGAGGAUAAUAGAUUCCAUACCAAUAACCAAUCACUACAAUCAUGACACAUUAUAAAAAAUGAGUCAAUAUGAACAUCCAAAUCACUCGUGGCACAUCACACAUUAUCAUAUCAACGAAUUCAUCUUUUUAUCCUCACAUAAUCAUUCAAAAAAAUUGUAAAAUAAUUGACAAAAAAUAUGAUAUACGAGAACCUUCAUCAUUCCCCAUUACUUCCAAAUAUGCAACAAGUCAUACAAGGUUUAAUACACUUAACAAAGGGUCAAAGAGGUCAACUUGCCUUGAAAGAGAAUAAAAUCAACUCGACACUUGAGCAUUCCCUUCAUGAUGAGUCUCUGACUCCACAUAAUCUAAUUAAAUAUAAAAUCUCUAUAAUAAAUCAUGAACAACAACACCUAUAAAGUUGAUUUUGAAAAUCAUGUCCAAAUGGAUCCAAAAGGUCAUUUCUAAGGACUAAAGAUAGUUCUGAAAUUUUAUGAAAAAUUAUAAUACCCAACGAAUUUGAAACUCAUGAGUGAAAUAGAAUUGAAAGACGAGUUAAAGCUAUUCGUGAAACUCUAAUUUACUUAAAAUAUGUGUUCAUGAAAAAGGCGCUCAAUACUUGAGUUCAAAAAUAAUGAUUCGAUGUCAAAAUUAUGAAGAAGUAAAUGGGUAAUGAAGAGUUUGGGGUUAAAGUCACUUACCCAAUCAAUAAAUCUUGAAAACCUUCUUUCAAAUCGCCACUCUAGAGUUCUCCAAGUCCAAAAAUGGUGAAAUGAAGAAAAUACCUCGAUUUUAGAAUUCAUUAAACUAUCUAGUAAAAUGUUCUCCGCGAACGCGACCACCCUUCCGCGAUCACAGAGACCAAGAAACCUAACCCUUCAUAAACGCAGGCAAGGCUCUGCAGACGCAAAGGCCAAAUAGCUCAGCCUUCUGCGAACGUGGUCUUGCGAUCACGGAGGCUAGACCACCUAACCUUUGCAACGUGGACAAACUUUUGAGAAUGCGAAGGAGGACAUCGGAUGACAACAACACAAGGCACAAAACAUUCACGGAAUAACCCAUGGGAUUCGUCGAAAUUUCGUCCACACAAACAAGAUAUGCUACCAAACUAAAAUCGACGUUUCAUACUCAAUGAAAUCAUCUAAACAUGGAUUCAAGGUCUUCUUGACCCGGCAUCCGUUAAAGUCAUUUAAGCUAACUUUCACUCAAAAUUAUCAAAUUGUUCUGAGUACCUUUGUAAAAAUGAACCAAGACCUUACCUGGGCCAAAAAUCAUCUCCUGAAUCCAAUGCAAUCAUCUAAAAUCGAAUCUAAACUUCCAAACACGGAAUGUUAACUAAAUUCAACGGUUAUCCUAAAAUCAAACAUCCAAUUCUAAAGUUCAAGUCCACAUAAAGACUUUGCAACUAAGAGCUACAACACUCCUAGACCAAAUUCUGGAUUUAGGAGAUGAUGAAACUAACAUAAUUCCAUUCUUAUACUCGUAGCUCCGUAUAAUGACUAAAAUUCUAAACCUCCUCUUCUUCUUCACAAUUAAAUGUUUGUGUACUUUGCUACUGUUGAGUGGCUUACUGACACCAUUGCUUAUGUUACAGAUCCUAAUAUGUAUUUUUACAGUCAUUAAUUUAUGCUUAUGUUAUUAAGGAUAAAUGAUAAGAGGUAAUAAUUUUCAUUUUCCUUUACAUUAUUAAUGUUUUGUUACUACGUAAUCUUGUAUGUAAGACAAUAUAAUGUUUUAGUUUUAAUGACUAGUAGGUUUUAAGUAUUAUUUUAUAAAUUCUGAAAUACUAAAUUUCCGUGUGAAGUGCGGAUAAUUUUAUUAAUAUUAAAAUAGGUUAGUAGGAAUUAUUACUUUUAAUACAUAAUUAAUUAAUUUAGAAAAGAAAAUAAAGAGAAGAAAGGAACGAGCCUGUGCAUCGGCGGCACAUAGACAAAGAGGAACGGAGAACGUAAGGUCAUCAGGUAAUCGUCCAAACCUUUGUAUUGUUGUAUAUAUAUGAUAGAUAUCAUAUUAUUAUUUUAUUAUAAUUGUUAAAGAAAAAGAGAAACAAUUAAAUGGGUUUUAAUUUAGAAGAAUUGAAAAUUUAUUUACUAUAUAGGCCGUCUUUUUAAUGGAGAAAAAGGGUGUGAUGGCCAAUCAUUAUGUAAUGAUUUAGGACAUGAUUAGUCAAUGAUGAUUAAAUUAGUAAAUAGAAACAUAUGGUGUUUCAAUGUAAGGUUUGGAAACAGCAAGUGUUCUCACCCUAUUAUUCGUAAUUUACUUCGCUGUUUUCUUUUGAUUUUCUUAUUAUUAUCGUAUUAUGAUUCAAGUUUUGAUAUAUUGGUAAUGUAAUUAAGUGUUAGGUGAAUGGUAUUACGUGAAUACCCUUCGAUUUAUGAUAUUGGAAAGAAAUUGAGACUUAACCCUAGGCUUGAAACUUAGGAACUUGAUUAUAGAUUUGGGUAAGUUUUUUGGUCUAGACUAGACAUAUUAUAAUAUGGGCGUUGUUGGGUUAGAAAUCUUACUGUGAUUAUUACGUGAAUAGAUUGCAUUGAUUUGGAAGCUCAACGAAAAGGGAAGGCUCACGUCACGGAGUGAAUUGUUGAUUAAUUGAGGCAAGUGGAUUUCUAAACCAUUAUUAAGUGUAUGAAAUUUGUGUAUUUUCUUGUAAUAUGUAUUUGGGGGUAAUGAGACUUGGUGAUGGGUUGACUUGUACAUAUCGAUUAAUUCUAAUGAUGAAAAUAGGGUAAUAAAAGCAAUGUGAUUAAUUGUUGGUGUGUGAUGUGUUGAGAAUGGUUUGAAAGACUUGUUGACUCAUUGUUGAUGUUGUAUCACGAUUGUGUUGUUGUGAAUUGUGCAUUAUUAUGAAAAUGAUCAUCUCCUCAUUAUUUGUGUGGACAUGUCAUUUGCAUUGUUCUGAGACAUGAUUGUGACAAGUGUUAUGUGAAUUGGGAAAGAGUAAGAAAUUAAAGAGGAUAUACCAUUUCGAGGGACGUGUCACGCGCCGUGACGGAUACUAUAUUUCGAGGGACGUAUCGCACGUCGCGAUGAAUUCUAUUAUCGAGGGAUGUGUCGCGUGCCGCGACGGAUGCAUGGACAGAUAUGUCCCCCAUGGAUCCCAGACUGAGAGACAGCGGGUGUGUAUCAUUAGGUCUCUACAUACAUCACUAUACUUGACAUUGCAUUGCACAUCUUUAUCAUUGAUGAACUUAAUCUUGUGUGUUGCUGAUCUUGUGAGUGCCUUUCUGUGGAACUUAUGAUUGAUGAACAUUGAGCUUGUUGUUGAGAAUAUGAAAUUGUUAGAGUGUUGUUGUUGAGCUGUGUGCUUUGUAAAUUGUGAAAUGUUAAGUUGGACUGAUUUUAUGCAGGUUGUAGUUGUGGAGAUUCGGUUGGGGGUGUAAGGAGUACCCGUAUUAUAUUCCCUUAGCUUGUGUUUAGAAGUUUACUUGUUGAGUACCGUGUGGUUUGGUACUCACCCAUUGCUUCUACAAUUUUUGUAAGUUACGAGCCUGGAUUUUUGUGAUACUUUCCAUUCACUUCAUUUCUGAGGCUUCUUGGAGAUUUGUGAGGUAGUUGUUUGUCAUUUCAAUAGACCUUCUUACUUUUAUUUAUGAUCUUGUUCAAUUCUAGAAACAAUGUCAUUUGAGACUUUUGUUUUCUUUUGAAUCAAUUGUAAUACAUUAGAGGCUUGUACACGGGACAACCAGAUUUUGGGUUUUUUUUUAUUAAGUUGACUUAGUUAUCCGCACUUAUGAUAUUUUAAGGUUUCAAUUUGUCUUAUUUCCGCAUUUUUGUGAUGUUUGGAUUUUAGGCUGACUUGUCUUGGUGGGAUAAGACGAGUGUCAUCACGUCCAUUUUUGGGUCGUGAUAAAAUGAUAUCAGAGCCUCGGGUUCAUAGGUCUCAUGUGUGUAUGAGUCGAGUCUAAGUAGAUUCUCGAGGAUCGGUACAGAGAUGUCUGUACUUAUCUUCGAGAGGGUAUAGUGACUUUUAGGGGAAAAAUGCACUUCUUGGAUCUCUAUCGUGCAUUAGUUCCUCAUGUGAGCAGUUGGUGUGUCGUAUAUGGCUUGAAUGUUAGACCUAGUACUAAAGUGAAAGUGAUAAACUUAUGGAAAUGAUGUGUGGUUAGAUUAAGAAUGUUCAGCAAUUUGAAAGGAUUGAGUAAGGCUAUGACUCGAUGAUGCAUUUUGAGGAUAUUUUAAUGAUGAGGUUGAACAAUUGUUUGAGGGACUUCAUAAACGUGUUAUCAUUUUUAGGUUAGCUACCCCAGCAGAGGGAAUAAUACUUGUGUGGUUCAGGCAAUAUCUGGAGUGGUUCGACAAUUGGAAGUCGAAUGAUUAAAGAAUGGCUAGAUGGUACCGAUGAACACUGUAACUUUGGAAAAUACAGUUAGUAAAGUUGUCAUAAAAUGUAUGGGUUGCUUAGCGUAUGAUGAGAAUGAUGUUGCGCCAAUUGAGGUCAGAAUCUCUACUACGAUUUUAUAGAGUGAGUGUAUAUCAAAGAGGUCAUGAUACGACUAUUACAAUGGUACCGAUGAUUACUCGGUUAGAAUUAUGGAAUGUGUUACUUUUGAUAUUGACCUGACCUAUGAAAGAAUACAUAUAGCUUGGGCUAGAUACAUAACGAAUUUGGUAAUAUUUUAUAACUAUUCGAUGGGUAGAAAUGUGUGACCUAUUUGGAUAUGAUCUUCUCAGUAUGUAUGAUAUGUUCUAGUGGUGGAUCUAAUAAUUUUUUGCGGUGUGAUACUAGUGGUCUAUGGAAACGAAUAUGUCGAUUGUCAAGUGUGAAUACUAACUACUUAAAGAGUUAUCAGUUGUAUCACAUUCUCGUAUAAUGAGAUUCGAUGUUUCAUUCACAUUUGAGAAACCAACUAGGUUGUUACUGCAGAUGUUUGGGGUUAAGCAAUGUGCAUAAGAAAGAUUUUAGUGGUGGAUCGUUGAUACGGUAUUAAUGCGUUAAGUUGAGAAGUGUAACCUAUGGGUUCUAAAUGAGGACCAGUGAUUCCAUCUUAAGGUCCAAGAGAAUGGAUAAAUACCAGAAUGACAAGCUUAUGGGUAAAGGAAGUCCCAAGAGUAUACUUGUGUGAAACUAAUUAAAGAUUUUAGAAAAAAAAUGCAUAUAAAAGUGGGUUAGUCCUUUGGAUUUUAUUGGUAUAACUGAUUUUAAGGUGUCAUGUCGAUGGCAAGGUGGACGUCGUGGUGAUGGCAAGGGCUAACUAAACUUGAUGGUAAUAAGGGAUUGCGAUGGAUUGUGAUUGAGAUGCAACUAUAUAAUAAAUAUUGUUGGUUAAACGAAUUUCACAUCGUAAUAACGACUUGCGAGUAUCUAAUGUUAUGGUUUGCUACUAUUUGACGAGUAGCAUGGUUGCAUGGAAAGUUAUAGAAGGUGUUGAGACACCGCUCGAAUAAAAUUUAAAGGAGCUAGAGUCAUAGUGAAAAAACAAUAGUGGGAUGUAGUGUAGCCUUCGGAAAGAGGUGAGAGUAAGAAUAGUUUCUAUUAUUGCAAAGGCUAAAGAGGUAUCUUCAAAGGGAUUGAGAAUUGGGUUCAGAGAUGCGUGGUUUUAUUUGUUUUGCUCUAGUUAUGGAAAUAGUGUCACGGGUUCAUCAAAUUGGUUAAAAACUAUUGAAUAAGGCUUGAAAAAUGAGUGUACAGACGUUCAGCUCGAGUGUAAUGAUAAGUUCUUUUGUGGUUUUGAGUUUGAUAAUGAGUAUGAUUGGAUGUUUAGCGAAGAAUAUGAUAAGGUCGAUGGAGAGGCGAAUAAUGAAAAGCUAAGAUACAUGAAUUCAUAAAAAUCUUAAAUGUAUGAGCUAAUGUUGAUAGAUAAUGAGAUUGGGCUACACAGUUGAAAUCAGAAUUCAAGUUUUUCGUUGUGAUUCUACGUCGUGAUAGUAUAUUUUGUUAAGGUAUGAAUUAGUAAGGUAAGAAAUAAUCGAUCGCAUUGGGUAUUUCAUUUGAAAGGACUUGUACAUGGUUUGGAUAGUAAGUUUGGUUACUUUUGAUUGUUAAAGAACCUAAGCAAAAGUUUUACUUAAAAAUAUUGGUCUAGAGUAUGUGGUAAACUGCCAUGGAUUGUGGGUCAAAGGAUUUAAUUUGUAAGCGAGUUAGCGAACGGAACAAGAGUCUCGUGUAGUGAAGAGUUUAAGAUAUUUAGAAUUUUGCGUCAUUGAAAGAAUUUAAGGAGAGGUGAAUGACUAAGACCUCUUGUAUAACCCUUAGUUCGAAGUUGAAGGUUGUAUGAAAUUUUGCCUUUGAGUUCAGAUAUGACUAUGAGAUGUGAAAUGGUUCAGCAUAGACUUACUAGGAGUUUAUUAUAGACUUUUACAAAGAUUAAGUUUUUAUUUGGGUGACAAGCAAUGAUGUGUGUAAGAUUCUAUGUGGUUAUGUCGAGCUAGAUUGUUCAAAUGAUGAUAGGUAACUUAUGGAUGUUCAACGGUGUGGACCUACAAUUUUAAAUGGUUAAUGAGGAUUUCAAGGGGAUUGAAACUAUUUUGUUGAUAGGGUGAUAUAGACUGUUAUGAUGUGUUACAUAUGCAUUUGAUGGUGAGUAGAGGUUUUGAGCUUAUAGUAUAUAGAAUUAUUGGAGUGGCCAAUGAUUUCUUUGAGUUUUGGCAUGGGGUACAGAUGGUAUGAAUGGUAGUUGAAAAAUGAUAUGUGAAAGUUUCUGUGAAGUUGACAUUGGGUAUGAUUCAAUUAUUGUACUUCGAUGGGAAAGUACUUUAGAUUUGAAAUUAGUGUUAUCAGUCUUGGGUGUGACUUAUAUCUGUCAUGUAACGCUUAAAUGGAAAGAGAAAGAGACAUAUUUUGAAAUUUUUAGAGGCUACAAUGUGUUUUCUAAGAAUACUUUUGUCACACCCAAAAUCCCAUUAAGGCGAACCGGCACCCGUUGCCGAGAAGGCUCGGGAGAACCAACCUGUAAUCAUGCUCUAUCUAUGAACAUUUAAAGGUGCAGCCAUAGUGGAUAACAUGUUUCCAUGAAAGUAGACAGUAUUAACAAGCCAAAAGAAAGUGCACAUGACUUGGCAGUUGGGACCAUGAUGUCUAAGACACGAGGCACAACCACACUUUACUAUACAUAGUCUACAAAGCCUCUAAAUGAUAAAACAUUAUGGGGUUAAGGUCGGGACAGGCCUCGCCUUACACUUAGCUACUAUACAAUACCAAAAUACAUGAUAUAGACUCAGAAAGCCCCGAAUCAACCUGGAGCUCACCAAUAGCCGCUGGAUGUCCUGUUAUUCUACUGGAGAGAUCUACUAGCUCCUGUACCUGCAUCAUGAAUUGCAGGUCCCCCGAGAGAGACGUCAGUACGGGAGAAUGUACUGAGUAUGUAAGGCAUAAAGUACUGUAUGUGAAAUAAGAACUCAAAUGAAAUCAUAUACCAAUGUAGGGAUACAAGACCACCUUUUCUGAUACUAUGGAAUCAGGUACUUUACAUUCCUUUCUUUACUUUAUCAUUCUUUACUUUACACUCUAUGCACAUCAUAUAAUACAAAUGACCAGCUGAUCAGUGGUAGACAUAUAAAUCUGGAUCGACCCAUUCUAGGCUUUCCUUUAACCCCUAGGAUACCACCCGUAAUAUUGGGAUCGACCCAUGCUAGGUGAUUCUUCCACCCCUGGGAUACCACCCAUCAAUAAGCAGAUUCAUUUAAUAUCUUUCCGUUAACAUUUGAGAUGAUUCUUUUGGUGGUCAUAACAUUUUGAGUUGUGGGACUACGUAGUCAACAACUAACGUGUAAUAAUCAUAUAAUUCAGGAACAACAACGUAGAGAGUAGUUACACAAUUAAUGAAAUGCAUAGGAGCUGAAAUAAUAUAUGGACCUUAUUUAGUUAAAAGGAGAACUCAUGCAGGGUAUUCAAUGUAUAUGUACAUAUUUGACAAUGAAUAUGUAUUGGAACGUGCAGACAUGUUAAAGAGUGAGAGAAAGGUCAUAAGUCGUGUUGGAGCUGGUAGGCUACCUCUAUGUGUCGAGGACGAGUCUAGAUUUCAUGUCAAUUAGUAGGAAAUCGAAAAGCCUUACAUACCUUGUUGUACCACCUUGUAGUUACCUUGAAGUACCUUCCUUUCUUUUUCAAAUACUUAUCUACAAUAGAGUAGGUGAUAAACUAGUAUUAGUAGUUACUAAACAUGCUUAGGCAGUCUAAUCUCACUCAACAAUAAUGCUCGGGCAGCAAACCCAUAAUUACCAAACUAAGGGUGCUCUUUCAAUCCCCGCCUUCUUUUAUUGCAUUUGUACACUACACAGCUAUAUUUCAAUAUCAACAGUUUACACCUUUUCCAGACAUCAACCAAGUUGUCCCCAAUAUGUUUACACAUCAACCUGUCCCAAAACAGUCCUAACAAUCCAACAUACAAUAGAGGACGUGAAACCAUAGUUUCCCAUCAUCAUCCCACGAGUUCUUAUCAACAGUAUACUUAAAAUAUCAUACUUAGACUCGUGUUUAAGGAAGACAAAGAUAGGGAAGUCACUUUACCUUGAUUCUUAUAACUCGUUUUCUUUUAACUUUAACUCUUCAAUAACUUGAGCUUCCCUUGCAAGGGCUUGGGUUUAUCCAAGAACCCUAGGAAACUUGUGAUUGCUUCUUUGCUUUGAAAGAGACAGGAGAAGCUUAGAGAGAAAUCUGAUUUUUUUUUAUCUCUUAAAAGUGAGGAAAUGGCCAGCAACUUGGGGAUUAUAAAGGUCUUAUUUUCCACACCUCUUAAGUUUUAAUAUCAACCUCUAAUUUGUCAAAGAGGUCCAAGUAGGUGAUGCAUCUACUUGGAAUUAUAUAUACAAAAAUUGGGCCCUUUAUGUACUCAUAUUGGGCUACAAUCUUUCCCCUUUCUAAUAUUAAGCCAUCAGCCAGAAUUAUAUCCUUAAUUUGGAAUCUACCUAGCCUAUUUGAGCUAAGCAAGUAGGUGACACCUGCUAGCUUUAUAAAGUCCAACAAGCACCUCAAUUCUUUUAUUCGUUUUCCGAGCGUAAUCUCCUUAGUUUAACUCAAAACUUGUAUACACUUGAUCACCUUAACUUUUAGACUUACAUAUAGCCCUUCGAUCCAGAAUUUAAAAACUUCUAAAAUUUAACGUUCACUCGAUCGUGCAAUAUUGCACUGUACGGGAGUUACCCUUAUAGCUUCUUUAUUGUCACCAUUCAUCUAGGAAAUCAAGUUCAUUACUUAUACCACCAAGCUAAAUCAAGUUCCAUAUGUGUAGAACUUGUACACGUAAAAUACGGGGUGUUACAACUUUGAUACUAGUGACAGUUUGAGAGUAAGGUAAAUGGUUGGUGUAGUUAUAAUGUUUGUUGGUAUUAAGAGUGUUAACUUUAAUGGAGUACUGUGAGAAGUAUGUGGGGUUUGAUGAAUCGAGUAUUUGUAAUAUUGUGAUGAGGAUCAGACUGGAUGAUUGUGGGUGGCUAAAAUCAAGAGAUGGAGUGAGAUGAAUGGAAUUUUAUUUAUAUGGGCACUAUGGAACGAGUAUCUUGUGUUAUUCGACCUUGCUUCUGUAUAUUCUUAUGUGACCACCUUCUUCGUACUGGACAUUAUUUGGAGUAUGAUUCACUGCUUAUACUAUGCGUGUUUCUACAUCUAUGAGUGAAUUCCUAGUGGUGGAUCAGGUGUACCGAUCAUGUUAUUGUCCUCAUUGUAGAGUGGCAUCUCUGGGCAGAUUUGGUCACUUCAGUUAUGACAUAUUUGGUGUUGUUUGGAAAAGUAGAGGUAUACCAUUGUAUCUACAUGCACGACCUCGCUUAUGAGAACUUAUAGAAGAGCUUCCGUGAAUAAUUACAGUUAUCCGACAGUGUUCUUAAAGGUUCUGCAUCCUAGAGUAUACCGUUUGUUGGGUGUUUACUGGAUCUUGUUCUUUUUUGGGUUAGAUAAGUUUGAUCCUUCCUUGAUGAGAACCCGAUGUCUAAAGAUUAGAUUUUUAUAACUUAAGCCCGUGAAAGUAUUAUAUUAUGAGAAUAAAAUCUUAAUAAGAUCUAUCAUGGUUUGUGCAUUAUGAGUGUGUGGUGAUUGGUUUAUUUUCACUUUUGGUUGUAGCCGGUAUUGAUUCAGAAUGUUAUUUUGGUUAUGUGAGAAAAGAUUCGUCAUGAUGGUUGUGUUAUAGUCCAGUGGAUUUCAGUGUAGAUUGGGUUCAUGAGUUAGUAUGUGGCUUGAUAAUCAUUCUUGAUUUAUAGAUCUUCCAAAGUUUAAUCCGAAAGUUUAGUUCUUGGUAUUGGACCUUGAUUGAAUGGUCCAAAUGAUGAGUUGAACACUUGGAGAAAUGAACACGACUCUGAAAAUCAUAACUUAGGCUUUUUGCUAACAUAUGUUAUUCCUCUUUCUCCUUCUUUAUGUUCGAGGACGAACAUGAUUUUUAGUGAUGGAUAAUGUAAUGACCCGGAUCCGAAAGGUCAUUUUUGAUAAUUUUGAAUAGUCAUUUAACUAUAGUUAAUUAAUUUGCGGAUAAUUUAGUUAUUUUUAAUAAUAAUGGGUCAAGUCUGAAAUAUUAAAAUAGCUAAGUAGGAAUUAUUACUUUUAAUACAUAAUUAAUUAAGAAAAGAAAAUAAAGAGAAGAAAGAAACUAGCCUAUGCAUCGGCGGCACAUAGACAAAGAGGAACGGAGAACGUAAGGUCAUCAGGUAAUCGUCCAAACCUUUGUAUUGUUGUAUAUAUAUGAUAGAUAUCAUAUUAUUAUUUUAUUAUUAUUAGUAUGGUUGAUUGUUAAAGAAAAAGAGAAACAAUUAAAUGGGUUUUAUGUUAGAAGAAGUGAAAAUUUAUUUACUGUAUAGGCAGUCUAUUUAAUGGAGAAAAAGGGUGUGAUGGCCAAUCAUUAUGUAAUGAUUUAGGAAUGAUUAGUCAAUGAUGAUUAAAUUAGUAAAUAUAAACAUAUGGUGUUUCAAUGUAAGGUUUGGAAACAUUAAGUGUUCUCACCAUAUUAUUCGUAAUUUACUUCGCUGUUUUCUUUUGAUUUUCUUUAUUACGUACUAGUAUACGUAUCCACGUGUUGCGCGGUUCAUCAAUAAAUGUAAUAAUAACUAUAUAUUUAUUGAGUAAUUUCAAUUUUUUAAUUAUUAAAAAAUGAUAUUACAAAGUUUAUAUGAGAGAAUAUUACCAUGUUUAGCACAUCAACAUCAACAUGUAUUUAAUAAAAUACUUUAUGAAAAUAAAUCAAUAUAAGCUUAAUUUAUUAUCUAAACUUGUGCAUAGUAAAUUUUAAAAUAAUGUUAUUUAUUUGUUUUUCAAAUUAAUCAAAAUCAUAAAUGUGCGCACAUUCCCUACUAUCUUCUUGUUAUCAUUUGUUUAUUAUAAUACUUUUUAUUAAUUUAUUCAGGUAGUGUUUUACCUUAAUUUAAAUCAUGAUUUGAACAAUUUAUAUUUUUGUUUUCAAUAUGAUAUAUUUAAUUUUAAUUAUUGAUAUUAACUACAUAUGAAUUUGAAUUAAUAUAUAUUAUUACUCAAUAUUUAUUAAGAUUUCAUCUGAAGAAAAAAAAACAAUGAUAAAACUUGAUCUCCUAAAAUUUGGAGCCAACAAAUUUAACUUAUAAUAAAAAUUAUUUCUUCUCCUAAGUUUUCACACCUCACUUGAAUUUAAGUAAGCUAAUAGAUAAUUAUUGCAAUUCUAUAUAAUUUAAGUAAGCUAAUAGAUAAUUAUUGCAAGUCUUUAAAAUUUAAAAAUAAUAAAACAAGUCAUAUAUAUAUAUAUAUAUAUAUAUACACAAUAAAUAUAUCCAAUAUGUUAACAAAAUAUAAAAUUAAAAUAAUUUAAUUUUAAAAUUAGAAUUAGAAUUUAGUGUAAGACACUUUAAUUAAAAUUUGAAUUUCAUAUUGUCAAACUUCACAUUUGAAAUUUGUAUGUGUGUAAUAUAUGUAUUCGUUGAAUUGGAAUUUUGAGAACUAAUAUUUGUUGAAUUGGAAAUUACAUUUUAAGUUAGUAUUAAUUGAGAUUGUAUGCAUAGUUAGAUUUGAUGAAAAUAUAAUUUUAUAACUACUUAAAACUGCUCAUUUUUUUAAAACACUAAUUGAUAGUUUUAAAAUUCAGCAUAAAUUUGUGUCAUAAAUAAAAUAUUUCUCAGUAUUAAUAAUUGAUAAGAAUAAAUAGCAUGUGCUAUUUUAUUCGAAAAUUCCUUUGGCUUCUUGAUAAGAGAAAGAUGUAAAUCAUGAGCAAAAAUUGAAGAAAUUUUUUGUAACUUUCUUAAGUGUUGGAACAAUUUACUUAUUUUGAAUCAUGAAAAAAAUCUAACAAUUCAAUUAUUUUAAAAUGGAGUGAAUAUCAUACUCAAUAUAAAAAAACAAAACACUCAUUGUCACAACAUAAUUGAAAAAUAUAAAAAAAAUACAUUGAUUAGGAGAGUUUUAAUUCACAAUUUCUUUCUUUAUCAUAUUUUUUCUCUGUAUAGUACCCAAAAAAAAAUAAAAUAUACAACCUUUUAACGAAAUUAUCUUCUUGAAAACUUAUUUUGCACGUGUCUUUUUAUAUUUUAUGUUGCAUAUGUAUGAAUAAGUAUAAAAAGGUAUAAAAAAACUACAAAAGUUUAAAAGUAAUGAAGUUAUACAACAUGUAAUUAACUUUGAUUAUUAUAUUUUAAAAGGUUAAAAAAUUUAAAAGUAGUGGAAUUAUAUAGGGAUAAGGGUCUGAAAAAUAUCCAACUUUGAUCGAAUUUGCUAAUAGGUCCUCAUGAAAGUUUAGUAUCGCAACAACAAAUUCGAUCAAAGUUGGGAUAUUUUUCAGACUCUUAUCCCAAUUAUAUAACAUGUAAUUAACUUCUUAAUUAUUUAAAAUAUAAAAUAUUUAAUUUAUAGAAUGUACGUAUAUGUAUAUAUUUUCUUAAAUAAAUAAAAGAAAGAUACUUAAUAACUUCUUCAAGAAAAGUUUAUAAUUUCAUAAAGCAUGUAACUUAGAUAAAACUUAGUGCAUUUCUGAUUGUCUUUUUUUUUUUUAAAAAAAAAAACAAACAUUCAAGCACAUUGGCAAAAUUUUAUAGAUAUUCAACCUAAAGUGAAUUCAUAUUCAAUGUUUAAAAUAAAAAAAAAACAUUCAUAGUCACAACAUAACAAAAAAUAUAUAAAUACAUUCGGUUUGAAAGUUUCAAUUUCUUUUUUGAUGAUGUAUUUAUCAUUUUUCCUAUGUAUAGUACCUUAAAAUAAACAAUAUAUAUUUCUUAACAAAAUAGGAAGAAAAAGCACAGAUGUUCCAAAAAGUGAUUUUUUUUCUCGAACAAUUACCACAAAAAUUGUUCAAUAUUGCAGAUUAUUUGCAACAAACUCCUCUUGCUUGAGAUAUGGAUUGCUCACUCAAAUAAUUUAACUCUUCUGAUUUAUCUCAAUUUUCUUUUGACUGACUUGAUUAUGCUCAUAAAUUUGUGUCUUUUUUUUAAAGGGGUAAAAGAUGUUUUUUUGGAAAUGGUUACACUGAAUGGGGAGGGAAUCAUCCGCUUGUUUAAAUGUUUCAUCACUAACUGCUCCUUUUAUUUUGGGAUAGAAGUGAAAAGUUAACGUGCAGUUAAAAUAUUUUUUAUUAUUUUUUUCAUUAUUUAUAAAUGUGCAGUUAUUUAAAAAUUUCAGAUUUAUAAUCUUUUAUAAAUUGAACGUAACUACUUAUGUUUUAAAAACGUAAAUAAUUAGUAUUAUUGUAAUUCCUAAAUUUUAGCAUCACCAUCUUAAGCAUUUAUCCUAAAAAAGAAAUAUUUCGAAUUUUUCUAAAAUCAAUUUUUGACUGACCCUCACGUAGUCACGUUACUUUUUUAAUAUUUUAUAUUCUUUUGUCUUUAUUGUAAAAAAUGGAAUUACUAUUUUAAAAUUUAAUUUAAAUAUAUAUUUUUUAGAUAAUGCUUGAUAGUUCAACAAAAUUAGGCUCAAUAUUUUUUUAAAUUAAGAUAUUUAAAAGGAUAAUACUUGAUGGUUCCACAAAAUUAGAUAAUGCUUGAUAGUUCCACAAAAUUAGGCUUCAAAACUAAAUUUCAGAUGCAGAACUUCCGUGUGUGUUUUUUAUUUUUAUUUUUAAUAUUUUCAAAGUUUAAAUUUUUUAUUCUAAACUUGAAAACCACAAAAAUUAGAAUUUCUAUUUUGAAAUUUAAUUUAAAUAUAUAUUUUUUAUGUUAACAUUUGUCAUUAAUAAAAGAAAUUUAAUUAUUUAAUUUUUUGAUGUUUUAGAAGUAAAAAUUAGAGACUAAAAUUCAAAUUUUAAAUUAUUAUCUUAUAUAAAUUCUAAAAAUAAUAAAAUGGUUAUAUCACAUUAAUUUUAAGUAGUUUUAUAAAGAAAUUUAAUAUUUUUAAUUUCGAAUUUCACAUAAUUACAAAUAGUGGAUCUUAUUUUUUUUUUUUAAAUGUGGAAUUAUAUAAAUUUGUUUUUUUUCACUAACCACAUUACUUGUUUUAUAUUUUUUAAUUAUUACUAAAUAAAUAAAUGUGCAGUUAUAUAAAUUAUUUUUUUUACCAACCACGUUUCUGUUUAUAUUUUUUUUUUGUCAAUUGACAUUUUAAAUUUGCAUUUCGCAUUUUUAUUUUUUUUAGGCUGAUAUUUGUAAUUAUUUGUUUUAAUUGAUGAUAUAUUUCUAUUUUUUAUUUAAAAUUUUAAUUUUAUAAAAUUUAAUUAGUUUUAAUUUAAAAUCCAAAAUUUGAGAAUAAUUCAAAAGCAAUACAUUUUUUAAUAAUAUAAUAUAAAAUCUAUAAUAUAAUAUAAAUUUUAAAAAAUUGUAUUUCAAAUAGUUAAUAUUAAAUCUGAAAACUUAAAAAAAAGAAAAAAAAAAAGAAAGAGUUCUAAACGUACUGCAUUGAUUUAUAGUUACACGUUUUAGGACUCCCGCACGUUUUGAUUUUAAUUUUUUAAAAUAAGUUUAAAAAAUAGAUAUAGUAAUUUAUUAUUUAAUCUUAGUACAUGUAAUUAAUAAAUUAUUAUUAUUAUUAUUAUUAUUAUUAUUAUUAUUAUUAAAAUGGGAUAACUUCCCACUAAAAAAAGGAAUCACACGCACUAUUUUUUAGAACUUCAUUUUUUAAAACUAAUUAACUUCUCAAUUAAUUUUUUUUAAUAAUUUAUAAUAAUAAUAAUUAAAGUGUUUAUUAUUAUUUUAAUACAAAGGUUUAUUAUUGUGUAUUAUUAGUAAAAUAACGCGUAUUAUUAUUUAAAAAAUGGAAAUAGAAAUAUGAUAACUUCCCCCAAAAAAUGGAAGCACACGCCCUAUUUUUUAGAACUGUUUUAAAUUUAUUGACGGAUUAGUUUUAAUUACACAGUAAAAAUCAUUUUAAAAUAAAAAAUCAUUAUUUUAACAUUUAUUUUAAUUUAUUUUUUUAACGUAAACUAAUUUUAAAGGCAAUUAAAUUAAAACAUACAACCGUUUUUAAAUAAUAUUUAAAUGAUAAAUUUUAAAAGAAACUUCCAUAUGUGGGGUUUUUAAAAUAAAUAAUUCUAAUUUAGAAGUUCUUCAAUAUGUUUAGAAGUAGGAGUGUAAUGGGAAGUUUUAAACCUCCCUAUUUAGUUGGGUAAUGAUUUUUUUUUUCAAAAUAAAGAUUAAAACACCAUAUAUUUUUUUCAUACGUGGUUUUUAAAAAAAUAAAUAAUUUUAAUUUAAAAAAUUUUCAAUUUGUUUUGAAGUGGGAGUGUAAUGGGAAGUUUUAAAACUUCCUAUUUAGUUGGAUAAUUAUUACAAUUUUUUUCAAAAUAAAGAUUAAAACGACAUAUUUAGUUGGCUGUUUUUUUCUAAAAAAACUAAUAAUACAUUAUUAUUAUUAUUAUAUUAUUAUUAGUUUAACAUAAACAAAAUUAUUAUUAUUAUUAUUAUUAUUAUUAUUAUUAUUAUUAUUAUUAUUAUUAUUAUUAUUAUUAUUAUUAUUAUUAUUAUUAUUAUUAUCAUUAUUAUUUGUUUGAUUUUUUAUAUAUAUAAGUAAAGAUAGAACUUAUAGAUUAUAGAUAAUAUUAAGAUAACUACUGAUAAAAUAAAAGAUUAUCAACACAGUUUUUCAUUGAUUAUAGGACUCCGUAGUAAAGGAUGGAGAGUUAUAAAUUUUUUUUAUCUAAAACUAUUUCUAAAUCCGCCCAAUUCCCCCUUCAUGUAUGGUUACCUGAUGCCAUGGAGGGGCCUACUCCUAUUUCGGCUCUUAUACAUGCUGCUACUAUGGUAGCGGCAGGAAUUUUUCUUGUAGCUCAGCUUCUUCCUCUUUUUCAGAGUUAUACCUUACAUAAUGUAUUUGAUCUCGGUUAUAGGAAUAAUAACAGUAUUAUUAGGAGCUACUUUAGCUCUUGCUCAAAAAGACAUUAAGAGAGGUUUAGCCUAUUCCACAAUGUCUCAAUUGGGUUAUAUGAUGUUAGCUCUAGGUAUGGGGUCUUAUCGAAGCGCUUUAUUUCAUUUGAUUACUCAUGCUUAUUCCAAAGCAUUAUUAUUUUUAGGAUCCGGAUCUAUUAUUCAUUCAAUGGAAACUAUUGUUGGAUAUUCUCCAGCUAAAAGCCAGAAUAUGGGUCUUAUGGGAGGUUUAAGAAAACAUGUACCAAUUACCAAAAUCACAUUUUUAUUAGGUACACUUUCUCUUUGUGGUAUUCUUCAUGUGUGUGUGUAGGAACUUUUAAACUAAUAAUAAUUAAGAUCAGAUUAAAAUAUAUAAUUAUGCAUAAGCAAAUAAUCCGAAAUCGAUUUUGUUUUCACGCAUAUUUGUUUUUUAAUUACAUUUUUAAUAGUUAAUAAAUUAAUUUUAUAUAACACAUAAGUAAUAAUAAUAGGUUUUAUGUUUCAAACAUGCAUUUAUAAUAUAAAUUUUCUAUGCAAUUAAAAUAAACUUCAAUGAAUUAAAGUAUAAAAUAUUGAGAACUUCCUUAAAAUUAUAUAUAAAUUAAAAUGAAAAUAAAUUGUUAAUUGGUAUGUUGUUUUUUUUAUAUUUUUUAUAUUAAACUUGUGUGUUUUCUGUCAAUUGAAGGUUUCUAUUGCAUUACCUUUUUUUUUUGUUAAAUUUCAAUUGUCAGUUUUUUUUAUUGGUUUUUCGUUUAGUUUGAAUUUAUAAAUUAAAGAUAUUUGAAUUAUGAAAUUUUGAAAAGAAAGAAGAAAAUUCUUAAUCGAUUACCUAUAUUUUAGGAAUUCAUUACUGUAUUUUAACAUAACUAAAAAUUAAAAAGAUAAUAAUAUUUAUACAAAUUUAAAACUAUCCCCACUAAUCUUAAAAUAAUUAACUGCAAUUUCAUGUGUCUUUUUUUUUUUGUUAUGAAUUACAGUUUUAUAAUAUUUAUUUUUUCAAAAUACUGCAAGUAUAGGCACUUUCAUUACAAAAUACAGUUUUAUAAUAUUAUUUUUCAAAAUACUGCAAGUAUAGGCACUUUCAUUACAAAAUACAGUUUUAUAAUAUUAUUUUUCAAAAUACUGCAAGUAUAGGUACUUUCAUCCCAAGCAUAUAGUCUUCUAGCAUUGAUAAGAAAAGCCUAAACUAAAAACAAAUACACCUCUUUCAAGUAAUAAAAAAAUAAAAUAAUCUAACCCAAGCAAAUUUUAAUAAAUUUAAUGAAAAGAAACAAAGAAAGUACACCUCCUUUUAAAUGGAGUAAUAAAUUAUAUACAACUGCAAAUCAACGAACUUUCAAGUUCCAAUGCAUUGAUUUGGAUAUAAUUUCUGAAAUUGUGUUAAAUUGCAAAGCCAUGUAUAUUGUUGAAUAUAGGAGAACAAUAUAAAGUUAUGUAAAGUUAUUACUAAAAAUGUCUAUAGAAAUCAUCUUUCCACAACUCAACAACAAAGAGCUCCGAAAUAUUAGGAUCUUUCAAACCCUAGCUCCGAUUUCCGAUAGGAUUAUGGCCACCGGCCAGCCGUUGAGUGCUGGACCGGUAUUAGAGUUAUACAAUGAUUCUGCAUUUCCCAUACUACGCCAUACAAAGGCAGCACCAUCAAAUGAUGGGAAAUCACAUGGUAAUUUGAAUGACGGAAAUAAUUUUGUCCCAGUAUAUGCUAAUAUGCUUAAAAGUGAUAAGGAGAAAAAUACCAUUAUGCCAGCAGUGGAACCAAUUCUGGUCAAACAAGUAUCCUAUAACAAUGGGGUUCCAAGGAUAGUCUGGACCGAAAAAGAAGUCGAUAGGAUGAACAUUAUAGAAAAUCUGCAAUACGCAGUUGUGGGAAGUUUUCGUAUGGUUGGCCUGAUUUGGAUGAAUUGCGCAUACAAAUUCCUAAGCAAUGCAAUGUUAAGGGGGAUUGUAAAAUCGGGUUACUACGAAAAAGACAUUCUUAUAAGAUUCACUAGAGAGGAAGAUUUCAUCAAUAUGAUGUCUAAGCCAGCGUAUUAUAUAUUAUCCAAGGAUGGAUAUUCAUAUAUGAUGCGACCUCUUAUUUAUGAUGCAAAAUUUAAUGCAGAAGAGGAAACCACUCAAGCAAUGGCAUGGAUCUCCUUUCCGAAAUUAAGACCCACUUUGUUUGUAAAGGAAUCCAUUUUUUCUCUCGCCUCAGUAGUAGGGAAACCAUUACUCCUUGAUGUAGCUACAAUAAAUAAAACUCGACCUAGUUGUGCAAGGGUGAAGGUACAAGUGGAUUUAUUAGCAGAUCUCCCUAAAGUCAUAGAACUAGAGGUGAGAAAUGAGGAUACAGAUACAUCAAGAGUUGAGAAGGUUAAGAUACAAUAUGACUUGCUGCCAAAGUAUUGUCAAACAUGCAAGUUACAAGGUCAUGCAGAGAUGGAAUGUAGAGUAUUACAUCCUGAACUCAAAGUAGCAGUAGAUGAAGAGGAGGAGAGGCAGGACACUAUCGACUCACUGGAGGCAACUGGAACACCUGUGAUUCGUGUAGGAAAACAACUCAAAAAAUGGCACCCUACAAACAAAUUUAUCUCAAGGAAAAAGCAAAGUGAACACCAAAAAGAUGAUACAGCGAUGAGAAUUGGCAACUCUUUUGCAGCUCUUAACGAUGAAGAUGCAAAUAGUGAACAACAAAGUGACAAUCUAUCGACUAAUGGCAGGGUAAAAGGAAUAGAAAAAACCAAUCAUACGCUUAUAGAUGACAACUUUCAUCAGCAUGCAUCAAGCAAGGAAUGGGUCACAGAGGUAUUUGCACAACAAGAGAAACAAACCAAUAACAAUAAUAAUAGCAUGGACAUAAAAGUGAAAGAGUAUUCAGGGCAAAUGGUAGAGGAGUGUGGAACACUAGUGCAGAAUGUGGUACAACAAAUAGAUAGAGGAGCAGUAGUAGUAUAUGAUGCAGUUGUGAAGGCUGUUACUGGAGUAGGGACUGCCUGUGAUGAUGCACCUGCAAGUGAUCGAAAUAGUGAGCAAUUAGGGGAAGAACAAACUGAAGAUACAAGUAAUAUGCUGGAGGGUGAAAUGAAAGCAAUUGUAUCUGUAUAAGACAUGAAAAUGGCAACAUACUAGGAACCUUUGCAGAUGGUGGCGGAAGGUGAGGUGCAGAUCCAAUUCCAGCAGAACUAAGAGGUGCAAGAGUGCACAAAUGCAAGUAUUACAAAUUUCAAUACUAGCAAAUCAACACCAAUGGAAGCUCUGCAUGCUUUGGUGUCUCAUAAGGUGGAGCAACUACAAACCAAAGACCAAAAUAAGGAAAAUCAAGAGCAUGAAGUAGGAGACGGUGAAUACCUAAAAGAUAUUGAAGAGGGGGAAAAUGACUCUAACUUGGUUCAAGUAUGCAAAGGGGCAGGCUUAUCACAUAAGUUAUGCACAAAAGGAAGAAAAGGUAAAGUUAAAGGAGACAGUAAUUGUAUUUUGCCUACAAGGGUUCAAGCUAGGAAGGUUGCCAAAAUAGUUUCUAAAUGAAGUACAAAGCUUUAUUUUGGAAUAUUAGGUCUGUUAAUACUCUACAAGCAUUUCACAGAGUUCAAAUGCUCCACAAACAUCAUAAGUUUUUGUUGAGGGCAUUAAUGGAGCCAUUUCAAAAUUCUAGGCAUAUUCAGAGAUACAAAAGAAGAUUGGGGAUGCACUACGUCAACUACAAUGUGAAUGGUCAAAUUUGGGUGUUUGUGAAGCAACACGUUCAUGUAGGAGUUAUAGCUGACUCGGAGCAACAGUUAACUUUACAACUCACUCUGGAAAAUGGGGAGCAACUUUUGGUAUCUGUUGUAUAUGCAAAAUGUUCUGCUAUUGAGAGACUUUCUCUCUGGGAUGAGAUAUUCACAAUAAGCCAAGAAUAUGUUGUCCCCUGGAUGAUCGGGGGUGAUUUUAAUGUGAUAUUGCGUGAAGAAGAAAAGAUUGGUGGUUUACCAGUAUAUCCCCAGGAGUAUGAAGAUUUUGCUGAAUGUUUAAAUGCAAGUGGUUUGGCUGAUAUUACUUUCUCAGGAAACCCUUUCACCUGGUGGAAUGGUAGGGUAGAUGGGGAAUGCAUUUUUAAGAGAUUGGAUAGGGUAGUGGUGAAUAAUUAUUUCUGGAUUCAUAUGGCAAUUCAUGGGUACAACAUUUGGCUAGGACUGGGUCUGAUCAUGCCCCACUCCUGCUUACUUGUGGAGCCAGUAAAGGUACUAUUGUCAAACCUUUUAGGUUUCUCAAGUUUUGGACUGAAAGAGAGGAUUUUAAAGAAGUGGUGGAGCAGAACUGGGUGGCUGAGAGUUCAGAUGAUAUUUUUGUACAGCUUAAGCAGAAACAGAAGAGGACCAAGAAGGCUUUAGCCAAGUGGAGUAAAGAAAAAUUUGGGGAUAUUUUUUAACAAUUAGCAAUUAGAGAAGAGAUUGUGAAAUUGAAGAAGCAACUAUUUCUUGACGAUCCAUCACCCGCUAAUAGAAGUAUUCUUCAGAAGGCUUAUGCAGAGCUGAAGGUUUAUUUACACUUUGAAGAAGUGUUCUGGAGACAAAAAGCUAGUGUGCAGUGGUUUGAGGAAGGGGACAGGAACACUAAAUUUUUUUCACAGUUUAGUGAGAGGAAGAAGAAAGAGGCUUACAUGAGGAGAAUAAUUAAAUCUGAUAGCUCAUGGGAUGAAUCAAAAAAUGCGAUUGCAGAAGAAGGGGUUAAUUUUUUACCAAAUAAUUUACUGCAGGGGUUAAUCAUUCUGACCUAUCUCUACUAAUGCAUAUUAAUCCUAUAAUCUCACAAAAGGAAAAUGAUAUAUUGACCAAGUUACCUGAUGAGGCUGAGAUCAAGAGGUUAGUAUUUGAGUUAAAUGCAGAAAGCUCUUGUGGACCAGAUGAUUUUUCUGGUUGUUUUUAUCAAAACUGUUGGGACACUGUUGGUUUAGAUGUGAUAAAAGUAGUUUCAGGCUUUCUUCAAAGGAGCUACUUUACCUAAGUCUAUUACUCAUACUAACUUGGUGCUAUUACCUAAAAAGGAUUUUCCUCAAUCCUUUUCUGAUCUUAGACCUAUUAGCUUGAGUAAUUUCCUUAAUAAAAUCAUAUCUAGAUUGGUGCAUGAUAGAAUGGAGGUGUUGUUUCCUAGAUUGAUAUCCCAGAAUCAAUCUGAAUUUGUCAAAGGAAGAAAUAUUAAUGAAAAUGUAUUGAUGGCUCAAGAAUUUGUUACUGAUAUUAGGUUGAGGGGCAAACCAGAUAAUGUGAUUAUCAAGCUUGACAUGGCAAAGGCGUAUGACAAGGUUGAUUGGAGAUUUUUGAUUAAAGUAAUGGAAAAAAUGGGUUUUAAUUCUAUGAUGCUUGACAUGAUUUGGAGAAUUAUUGCUAAUAAUUGGUACUUUGUAUUGAUUAAUUGUCAAGCACAUGAUUUUUUCCAUUCAUCAAGAGGGGUUAAACAAGGAGAUCCUUUGUCUCCUGCUUUGUUUAUACUUACUGUUGAGGUAUUAACGAGAACUCUAAAUCAUCUAUUCCUAGAAGAGGAAUAUAAAGGAUAUGGCCUUUCUAAAUGGAGUGAACAGUUGAAUCACUUAUCUUAUGCUGAUGAUACAAUUAUUUUUGCCUCUACUGAUAGGAGUUCUCUCCAGUUGAUAAUGCACACAUUGAAAAUGUAUGAACAUCAAUCAGGACAACUUAUAAACAAAGAAAAAAGUGUAUUUUACUUGUUUAACAAAGUUGCUCUUAACUCUGUUCAAAUGGCGGAGGAAAUCACAGGUUUCUGCAAAUGGAGUUUUCCUUUAACUUAUUUGGGUUGUCCUAUUGGUCAUGCUAAGAAGAAGAAGAUUCAUUUCAAAGAGCUCAUCAAGAAGAUUCAAAAUAAACUCGAAAUGUGGAAAGGGAAACUUCUAUCUUAUGGGGGCAAAUCAGUGUUGAUUAACCACGUAUUGCAGAGUAUUCCUAUCUGCCUCCUCUCAGCUAUCACGCCUCCUAAAUGUGUCAUUGAUGAUAUUCAUAAGAUUUUUGCAAAAUUCUUGUGGAAUUCUAAAGAACAAGGAAUAGCCACUCAUUGGGUAGCAUGGGGGGGAUAUUUGUCUGCCCAAGGAGGAAGGAGGUUUAGGUUUUAGAUCUUUAUUUGAUGUCUCCAAAUCUUUACUUGCCAAGUUGUGGUGGAAUUUUAGAACCAAAAAUACCAUGUGGACAAAUUUUAUGUGGAAUAAGUAUUGUAAAAGACAAAGGCCACAAUUGGUGGACUGGAAAAAAGGAUCUCAAGUUUGGAAAGCUAUGUUACAAGCUAGGGAUUUCUUUGAUCAAGAGAUCUGGUGGGAACCUAGAGAAUGACAUACUAGUGUGUGGUUUAAUAACUGGACACAACUGGGUGCUUUGCAUUUUUUGAUGCUUAUAUCACAUAACCAAAGUCAACUGGAAGAUGUCAAGGAACUAUAUGUUGAAGAUGGAUGGAAGAUUAAUGCACUGGAAAGUAAUUUCAAUGAGGAUAUAUGCAAUCACAUAUGCAAUACCUUAGGAAGCUUUACUAAUACUGAAGGAAGAGAUAAAGCAUGGUGAAUGACUAGUAGUGAUGGUAAAUUCAAAAUUAGCUCAGCCUGGGAAUUAUGCAGAAGUAGAGGAGAGUAUAUAGAAAAUAUCUCCAAUAUUUGGGAGAAAGGUUUGCAUUUUAAGGUAUCCUUUUUUAUGUGGAGAUUAUGGUUUAGAAGGAUUCCUAUUGGGGAGGUCUUAAUUAGAAGGAACAUAGUUGAGAGGGUUGAUUGUAGCUGCUGCAAUAAUAGUGCUCCUGAAACUUUCUCUCAUCUAUUUGUCUAUUGUCCUAGUGCUCAAUCUGUUUGGAAAACUUUUAGAAAUGCUGCAGGGUUAUCAUUUCCAAUUAAUCAGCUUCAACAGAUUAUGGAAGAUUGGUGGAAAGCUGAUGGUACGUAGUCCUAAAUUGAAGCAAUUGUUUAAAGUAGUUCCUGCUUUCAUAACUUGGGAAAUUUGGAAGAGGGGGAAUGUGAUGAAGCAUGGUGGAAAUAUGUCAACAACCUCAAUGAUUGUAGAGAUACAUAGAAACAUCUACUUAUUUACUAAGAGUUGAUAUCCAUGGUUAAAGAAUGUCCCUCAAAACUGGCCCUUAAUUGUCAAAUAUUUUGAAGGAUAAGCUCCAUUGACAAAAACUAUGGUGGUGAGAGUCAUCCCCUCAUGGGAGUAUAUAAAUGCAAUACUGAUGCUUCUUAUCAGCUUGAAUCAAGAGUUGGGUGUAUAGCCUUUUGUAUUAGAGAUAUACAAGGAGAUUUGAAAUAUGCAGAAUCUAGAAGAAUUAAUACUACAUCUAUUUUGGAGGCAGAGGUCAUGGCAAUUAAGGAAGGGUUACAGUACUGCAAUCAAGGAAAUUUCCUUCCCUUGAUAAUUGAGCCAGACUCACUGGUGGCUCAAAAAGUUAUACAUGGAGUAUGGGAGGUCCCAUGGCAGAUAGCUUGGGAUAUCAAACACAUUCAGACAAUGAUAAAGAGUCAUGGGGUGGAGGUGGUUCACGUCCUCAGAGAAGGGAAUAGCCUCGCUGAUGCUUUAACUAAGUCGUUUGCUCAUUUUGCAGGUACAGAGAUACAACAAUAUCGAAAUAUGCAGGAACUACCACAACAUGCCAAAGCUAUUUUGCAACAAGACAAAGAAAAGACUCCUAAUUUGAGGAUCCGAAAAGUUCAAAACAAACAUUAUAAUGGUGCUUAAAAAAGAAAAAAAGAAGAAAAAGGAGCACCACAUCAGUUCAAAGCAAAUCAGGAGAGGACUAAAAUAAGAAGGUGAAAGAUUACCUUAGUCUCCUGGAAAAGGGUGAGCGAUGCAAGGUCGGAGAUUAGUCGACUUAAACAGUGGUAUUAAUCUCGGUGGGGUUCAACCUGUUGAGGAGAAUAAUCAAGGACCGAGUAUCAAAACAUAUCUCAAAGAUGAGUAAUUAAAUUAUAAAGGUAAAACUUAUCUCAAUAGCUCUUGUCUUCAAAUCUGGAUGGUGACUGAAGUGUGUCCCCAAAAUUCUUGCGCAUAACUUGAGAUCUAGCUCAGAUCGAUAAAAUUCAGGUAGAAGAAGUCUUCAAAGGUAUUUGAAUCAUUAUAUCAGUGAGAUUUGUUGAUGUGGAAGUGAUUGCAACCCAUACCUGGAUCGAUAUCGAACAGAGCUCAUAUCAAGAGGAGGUGAGUAUUUGGAAGGAUUGAUCGUCACUUUGGGAGGAUUCUCCGGCGACUGUCACAUCGGAGAAGCUGAAUUUUUUUCCAAACAUUAGAGUUUAUUUCCUUUUCUGUUAGUUUGGUUUCUUCUUCCUGUAGUUUACUUUGUUUUGUUGUUUCCGAUCGGGCCACUUUUGGACCCAAUUGGUAUUGAAUUUAUGUUUUUUAAUAAAGUUGUGG